rnacentral:lncRNA from 1 species
UGUCUUUUUUUUUGUAGUGUAAGACCCUCACGAGGGGCCACGCCUUGCGAGGCGGAUGACACCAAGACCUCCCUAGGGGCGGCCUCACCAUGCUGGCUCCUGAGGAGCGGACAUAUCAAUGCAAGGUGUACCUCACGAGGUUCACAUGACGUGAGCCAUGACGACGAAGGCCAGGUGGGCGCCAACGGGCGCAGUGUACCAGUUUCCCCUUUGGUGCCAAGGAGGCAAGAGCAGGCGUGGAGUCCUGAGGAAUCAGGCAAAGGUUUCCAUAUUGGUGCAAUGAGACCAAGACCGCCAGGACGACAGGACGGAGGUCAUCGCGGAGCCCACUACAGCGUCACCACUAUAGCCUUUGCAGGCGAAGAAUACUUUUGUUAGGAUUACUUGUACUAGUUGUCUGCCUUUGAAUUUGGCCGUUGUGAGAUCCCUUCCCACCUACAUUUGGGAAGAGGACCAAGGCAACUAUAAAUAGGACUUAGCCACCACCCAAGAGAGGGAUCGGAUCGUUUAGACCAUCCUCACACCCAUUAGCUCAUUAAGCUCAAGAACACCUCACCUCCUAAGACUGUUCAACCACUGUACUAGUUCAUCCUCAGCCCCUCGAGGCAAUCCACCACAAAGCUGGAGUAGGGUAUUACACCGCAAGGUGGCCCGAACUGGGAUAAACUGUUGUGCCUCUUGUCCCUUGGGUUCUUCGAUCUAGGCUGUGGAAUCAUCACUACACCACGGUAGAGCUUCCGUGACACACCAAUGUGUCGACAUAGGGUACCUUCGCCGACAGAUAAGUUGUAGCUAACACCAAUGCUGACAGAAGAUGAAAGAGUCGGAGGACUUGCUGUGGGCAAAGGUAUUGCCAACAGUUGUUUACUUCCCGACACUUUUUCAGUCGGCAUACACCCUACCUACACCGACGGAUGGUAUGUCCACAUACACCCUACCUACGCCGACACUUUUUCAGACAAGAUACACCCUACCUACGCCGACAGAUAGCAUGUCCACAUACACCCUACCUAUGCCGACACUUUAUUAGCCAGGUACACCAUACCUAUGCCAACAGAUAGUAUAUCAACAAAUACCCUACCUAUAGUGACAGAUAUUUCCUUUGCCGACAUAUAAAUUGCUGGUAAAGUGAUGUGCAGCCAAAACAAUAUACAAUAUAUAUAAUUAUCCAUAUAUACAAGCUCUAAACACAUUCAAUUAUUAACCUCACAUCCAGAAGCAGGUUCAAGAUUAACACAUACUGUAUAACAAUGAAAACAUGUUCACAAACAUGCAUAUACAUUGAACGCAAGUUGACAAACACAUCAAAUCUUGACAAAGCAUAGUUUGACCAUCUUAACAAUCACCCAGAACACACAAGUCACAAAAGGAUGAGCACUAUUUGCUGGUACGAGAGACCUCAGCAGAUGGUCCAGAACACACAAGUAUGCAUCCACAUGCACAGAGUGCAACCUCCAAAGUACUCGAAAAAUCAAAUUGUCUAGAAGACACAUAAGAUCCAUGAUUACAGGUUGGUUGGUCCAUAAACACUGCAAAAUCAUCACGUCCAUGUGCACCAGUUGGCUAAGUGCCUGAAAUUUUUUCACAAAAAUUUGUCAAGAAAGUGGAAUGAACUCAAGUUGUUCAAAGCUCAUAUGCGGAUUAACACAUAUUCGAUCAAAAAAUCCUCAUGAUAUCAUAGUUAACAAUAUAUUUUCUACAAAAGUUAUAAUUGGAUCACAUGGUACUAUGUAGAACUAUGUUCCUGUGCUUGGACUUUUAUCAACAAAUGAAGGCAUUGACCAUCCGAAACAGAGUUCCUACAACCUAGUAGCUUCUUUUAUAGACUAUUAGAUAAGUACUCACUAAAGAAAAGACAACCUCUUUUGCAAACUCUCCAGAUUUUCAUGAUUAAGAGCCACAUAACCAUGGAUAGAAAAGGAAACCAUGACACAUAUAUACACAAGCAAUUUAGUGUUAACACAUAGGCUAGGCAACAUUGUAAAGUGACAUUUUAGAAACUGUUCUUAUGCAAUAGCGUGUGAGCUAAUUACUACUGAAACAGAAAAUGUACCUAGUAGUUUCCUACUACAAGCCGCGGUCCUGGUUCCCGGUGGCGUAGCCUUUCCAUCCACCAUUCGUUUUCUGCUGCAUGUGCGCGGCCAUGGUUCCCAGCGAGGUAGUCAUCCAUUCUCUGCCCAAUGCUCAUGCUGCAUGCUGGUGGUCAUGCUUCCCGGCUAUUGUCGGCAAGAUUAAAUGAAUUAGUAACUUGUUUCUCAUCAUGCAUUGUAAUUAAUUAUGACAACUAUAUGUAACUACACUAUUUGCAUCUAUUUUUUACUCUAACCAGUGAGCGUGCACGUGCAAUGCACGUAUAACCAAAUGAAGAUAUUUUUCUCAUUCAUCCUAGUCAAGAGGCAAUUAUUCAAAUAAAAUCAACAAAAAUGUAUAAUAAAUAUACUACGCAUUCACAACUCCCUAAAUACUUCUUCCGUCCCAAAUAAGUGUCUCAACUUUAGUACAACUUUGUUACAAAGUUGAACACUUAUUUUGGGACAAAGAGUAAUAUGGAAUUGCCACUAACCACAAACUACAAAGUCUACACUAAAUAACCUAAUCUUGGUAUACAACCUUAGUGGGCUACCAUAGUUUUUACACUGAUGAAAUAGUAGGUCUUAAGCAUCUCCAGAUAAGGAUCUUCCAUACCAAGCAACACUAGUCAUUUGAACCAUUGUUUAUUAGUUUGAUGAAAUAGCAGAUGGUAAGCACUUGUUGUCGGAUUUCGGGUUCCGACAGACCCUUGAGGUUCGAACACUGGGGUGCGCGCGGAGAUUUUGCCUCCUACCUACCUGCACCCCUCCGCCGUGCUAGGAUCAAAACUAUCGAAAGAACAACACAAGAGACACAGGGUUUAUACUGGUUCGGCCACCGUUGUGGUGUAAUUCCCUACUCCAGUGUGUGGUGUGUGGAUUGCCUCUUGGGCUGAUGAUGAUGAGCAAUACAAGGAAGAACAGCCUCGCGAGGGUCUGUUCUUGGCUGGGGCGAUGAACUGCUGCGAGGAGUUCAGUCACCUUUCUCUCUCUCUCUCUCUCUCUCUCUCUCUCUCUCUCUCUCUCUCUCUCUCUCUCUCUCUCUGCUUCCAACCGGCCGACCCCUUGCCAUGUGGGUGGCUGGUCCUAUUUAUAGAGGCCCUGGUCCUCUUCCCAAAUAUUGAGCGGGAAGGGAGCCAACAAUGGCGGGCUAAUUUGAAGGGGGACAGCAAGUAUCAGCUAUCCUGACAAAAGUAGUCUUCGCCUGCGCAAAGCUCUGGUGAUGACGCCGUCUUGUGCUCCACGGUGACCUCUGUCUCGUAGUCCUCCUGGUCUUGGUCUCGUUGCACCGAAAUGGCAACCUUUUCCUAACGCCUCGGUACUCCGUGGCUGCGCUUGCCCCCUUUGCACCAAAGAGGAAAGGAGGACGUUGCACGGGCUGGCACCCGCCUGGCGCCCUGGGUCGUCAUGGCUUGCAUCACGGGCACCUCGCGAGGUACCCCGCCUUGAUCUCUCCGCCUCCUCGUGAGCCAGCCUGGCGAGGCCGUGCCUGAGGAAGCUCCGUGUCAUCCGCCCCACGAGGCUUGGCCCCUCGCGAGGGUCUUGAGUUUGUGUUGGUGAAGAUGGGCCGUGCUGGGUCCCCCUUUGAGCCACGCCGCAGGCCGCAGGCAGGCAAGUCUAAGGACCCCCGUUCCCAGAACACCGACAGUAACCCCCGGGCCCAAGGCACGCCCGGACUUAGCCGUGGAGGGAGGCGGAAGGGCAAGAGCAAAGCGCCGCGGGCCCUAACAGCCUGCGGCCUUGGGCGCCGCGUGGCGGUUGACUGGUCGUGGGCGCCUCCACUUCCCCACGGUGCCUCGGCAACUGCAUGGAUUGGACAAGUCCCUGCAUGCAAAACGGGUCAUGAUUACUUGCGAUCGUGGAGGUCGGCGGUUGGCCUCCGCCGGUUAUAAGUACAGAAUGCCGUGCGCCCUUCCAGUCCAUCCCUCCUUGCUUCUCCUUCUUCCCGAUUCUUGCUCCGUCUUGCCGUGAUGGCUCCGAUCCGCCGGUUCUCGACGGUAGAGAAGGGAAAGGCUCCCCGAGAGGGACCAGACCCACUUCCGCCGAAGAAACGGCAUGUCCACCGUGGCCCGGAUGAGGGGGCCCUUCAGGUCGUGUCGAGGCCUUGGGGCGAGCGGGCGCCGCCGGGGUUCCCGCUUCCAUUAUACGCCCACGUCGAGGGCCCCGAAGGAGCUGAUGCCGACCGCCACGGGCGGCGCCGCCGUCGGCGCCGACGGGUCAUGAAGGCGUGGGUCGUCCCCCCUGGGGCCCACACCGAGGGCUGCUCCCAAGAGUUCGUGCUCCACGUCGCCAUUCCUCUUCAGUCUUGGAUCCGCCUUCCUCCCUUCUUCGCCUCCGUCAUCCCGCAGGGGGAGCCCCUGGAGCUCUGGCUGCAGCACGCUGGCUGCAGCACCCUCGCGACCGAGGCAGAGGUCGCGGUCGUCGCCCCGGGCAAGGUCUACAUGACCCGGGGCUGGAGAGAGAUCGCCCGGGUUUGCAGGACAAGGGGCGUCUUCGCGAUCCACUUGGACUACGACGGUGCUUCGGUGAUGCUCCUCAAGGUCUUCAACGUGAACGGGUGCCGGGUAGAGUGCUGCCUCGGUGAAGGCGGCCAGGGCCCUACUGCGACGAGGAUUGGGCUCGCCAACCGCUCCCUUGGCGGCUCCUCGGGCGGUGGAGACGUCGGAGGCUCCAGCGACUCCGGCGAGCCCUUCGCGACUCCGGAGACGAGCGACGAUAGCUACGAGCCCUCGAGCCGGCGCCGCUCUCGGAGCAGGGCGAGCUCGUCAGGCCGCCGCCGACUCUGAUCUGGAUGGGGUUGGCGUCGGUGCUUGAUGGCCCACUGUUGAUGAUGGCGUCUUUUGUAGCGAUGCGCGUAGUUUGCAUCUCUUUAGGAUCUGUUCCCUGCGAGGAACCAAAAACGCGCCCCGUGGGGGCUUGUAAGGUGCCUGUGAUCCUGUUUUGUUAAUAUAACCCUUGUCGUAGAUUUGCGCAAGUUGCUCAUCCCGUCUUAGCUCGGUCCUCCCUUUCGAACCUCACGAGGGCUUGGUGCUCUGCGCCGACAGGUCCCAGUCCCAAGGCGGCUUCAGUCGUCGCUGGUAUGCCAGGUCGCGGAUGCCGUGGUCAAGGCCAGGAGGUGAGCGACCCAGAGUUCGGUAAGAGCCCCUGAGUCGCGAUGCUUAAGAGGUCCCCUUUGGCGCCCAAGCAGACGUCGUUCGGUGAGAAAGGGGAGCGAUGUUGCUAACAUGGGAUAGCAUUAGGUGCAGGGAUGGUGCCACGGUAGCUGGCGCUUCCGGGCGAUAACUUAUCUCGAGGAUCAGGGGCCGCUCUCUGGUGUGUGGCCGGGUCCGUGCAUCGGUAGGCGCGAGGUUGCUCGGCGAGGUCCUCGUGUGUCUCUCCCCUCUCGCCUUUGCUCCCCUUUCUGCUCUACAUCCUCGGGUCCCGGCCCUCGAGCGAGUCUUAGCCAUUGCUGGUAUGCCAGGUCGCGAUACCGUGGUCAAGGCCAGAGGGUGAGGGCUGGAGAGCCAGUAGGAGCCCUGAGUCGCGAUGCUCAGGCACCCCCCCCUUUAACGUGCAAGCGGUUCGCGCGGACGAGAGCGAAGAAAACACAGCAAGAGCCUCGCCUGACGCAGAUCCUUCAGGAGGUCCUGGAGGUCCAUCAUAGAAAAAGCAAGGGGUUGCCAUAACAAUUGACGGUCAGCCGUUGGUUGCUUCCGAAGGGUAGUGAGGCACUGAAGGCUUGACGAGGUGGCGCUAUGCGGGGCUGCCGCGGCCAGAGCUUAGCCAUCCAGGUUUGUCGGCGUUGCAGGGACGGACCCAUGCACAAGCGUCGUGCCGUUUGGGAGCAGCUCCGUUAGUUGGCGUCAGCUGAGCAGGCAACUAGGUAAAGCACAUUAGCCGCGAAGGAGUGGAUUCGUUCAAAUAGAUGUUGGGAAUGCGGAGAUCACUGGGUCAGGCCCGAGCGACUUGGGGGUCAUGCUGCCCGAGGGGCGCCCCCAACAAGGUAAGCUAACAAUCAUGGAAUGUAAAGGGAUACACGCUGCAGGGACGGACCCACGCGGCCUGGGAAUAAUGCAGCUCUGGGGGCGCUCCCAGCUGGAAGUGAAACUUGAAAGAUGUCACCUGAUGAUGUUGAAGACGAAGGGGUGUCGGUGUAGCAGACUCGGUGGGCUGCGGGAGCCGAUCCUCAUGAGCCCCCAGGCCCAGGGGCCUCGGGAGGCUCCGGAGGCGCUGGCGGUUCCUCGCGGGCCAUCUCCAUCUCCGCCAGGGCUGCAGAGCGCCUGGCCUCUUGUGCCUCCGUGAUGCCCCUCAUGAGGCGCUGGUGUGUGUCAGCCGCACUCGGCAAGCCGUAAGGCAUGCGAACGUAGCUGUGGGGUGGACCUCCGCAGCGCCCCACUCGCGAGGGCCAGAGGCGCUCCAGGGAGGUGACUUGGUUGAGCCCUGGUACAUUGACGCAGACACGCAGCUCGCCAUCCUCGCCUGGAUGGGGAGCCACUGCUGGUAGGCGGCGGGCGCCUCUCAUGACUCUCGACUCCUGUAGCUCCUGAAUGGCCUUGCUGACGAACUCCUGUGGGUCUGGAUCUUCUUGCCUUGUUGCUUCUUGCGGGAAACGUGCUUUGAAACAUGCCUCCAUGUGGUGCCCCAGCGCCUCCCUCGUGACCCAUGCUAGGUCGGUGGCCCUCCAGGGGAGAGCCCCCGAGCCCUGCCUGAGGAGGGCGUCGGGCACGCUUUCCUAUGCGAUGGAAGGAGGCUCCCCCUGGGCAGGCACGGGCCCAGAGGGGCCUGCCUCCUGAGGGGCCAGGCCGGACGAUGUCUUCUUCUUCUUGAGGGCGGCCUCGGGAAGCCUCCUGCUUCCGCGAUCCGGGUCUUCUAGCGAUGCGGCCUGAAAGGCUCGCUCCAGAGAACACACCGCAUCCUUCUCUUCACAGGGCACCGUGAUGACUCCGCUGCUUCCUGGCAUCUUGAGGACGUUGUAGCCAUGGUGAGUCACGGCCAUGAACUUGGCCAGUGCCGGGUACCUGAGGAUGGCGUUGUACGGCAGGCGGAUGUGAGCAACAUCGAAGUCGAUGACCUCGGUGCGGUAGUUGUCGCGUGCCCCGGAGGUGACAGGGAGGCGAACCUGCCCAAUCGGGACCGUGGAGCCGUCGGUGAUGCCGGAGAAGGGCUUGGUUGGCUGAAGUUGGCUGUAGGGCACUUGGAGGUUGUUGAAUGUCUCUACGGACAGGAUGUUGAGCCAUGCCCCGCCAUCGAUGAGGGUCUUGGUGACCACCAUGUUGCUGAUGAUUAGGGAGCAAAGCAUCGGGAGGACUCCGGCUGUAGCCGCACACUUGAGUUGAUCUGCUGAGCUGAAGGUGAUGGCGCAUGCCGACCACCUGAGGGGGCGCGUGGCUUCGAGCCUGGGGAGGACUGUGUUCACUUCGCGAGCGAACUGCUUGAAGAUGCGUUGAGAGGCUGGGGCUUGAGCUCCGCCCAGGAUGCAGGCGAUCGCGUGCGGCUCCUAGAAGCCCCCAGCCUCCUCGUCCUGGUGGCGGUCCUCGUUUCUCCUUGGCUAUGGCGGCAGCGGUGGGAGGCCUGCGUUGCCUUGCGGGCGAUCCUCGCGAGGCUGAUGCCUCCAGCCUCCCUCGCGAGGUGGGUCUUGCCAGCGUCCUGCGUUCCUUCCUCCUCCUCGGCCGUAUCCCCGGUCACCACGGUCAGGGCGACGGCCGAUCCUUCCUUCUUGCACAGCUUGGAGUUCUUGGCAUUCGCUGGUGUUGUGGGUGUGGAGGUCAUGGUACACGCAGUACCGGCUGCCCUUGGGAGGUUCGGGCUGAUCUCUGCCCCGCUUGGUGUCCGGUUCUGCCGCGAGCACGGCAGCCCCCUUGCGCUUCACUUCCUUGGCCUUGAGCUUCUUCUCUUCAGGGUCUGCGGCAGGCAGCUCGAGGAGGGAGAGACGCCCUUCCUCAGCCCUGGCGCACUUGUUCGCCAAGUUGAACAGCUCCAAGGAUGUGCACAGGUCUUCAUGCAUCGCCAGCUCCUCCUUCAUCUUGACGUCGCGCACGCCGUCGGAGAAGGCUGAGAUGAUGGUCUCUUCAGUCACCUUGGGAAUCUUGAGGCGUGCGUUGUUAAAGCGCUGGAUAUACUUCUACAGGGUCUCCCCGGGUUGUUGCUUGAUGCGGGGCAUGUCGCUCACAGCAGGUGGCCGGUCGCGAGUACCUUGGAAGUUGGCGAUGAAGCGGGUGCGCAUCUCUUCCUAGGAGGAGAUUGUGCCUGGAGCCAAGUUUAGGAGCCAGGUGCGGGCCCCAUCCUUGAGCGCCAUGGGAAACCAGUUCGUCAUGACCUUUUCGUCUCCGUUGGCAGCUUCGAUGCCCAGCUCGUAGAGCUGGAGGAACUCCGCAGGGUCGGUCGUGCCGUCGUAGCGAGGAGGCAGGUCCGGCUUGAACUUGCCUGGCCACGCGACACUGCGCAGUUCGGUGGUGUAGGUGCGGCAGCCUGCUGUGCCACGGGAGGCCUUGGGAGAUGGAGAGCCUGGUCUUGCAUGUCCCCACGCACUGGAGCAGGAGGAUGGUCGCGGCGUGCUGGCGCAGGGAGCGCCCGGGCAGCUUCUGGCGGGCGAGGGACUUCUUGGCAGCUCUGUUCUUGCCGCGCUGGCACCUGACGGAGCGGGUUCCGCCUAGGGGGCACGCACCUUGGAGCCAUGGCGUCUUCUUGAGGAGGAGGCGGUCGGGGCGCCGCCGGAGCCUCGUCGCCCGCGCGGGGUGGGGUGCGGUGCAGCGAAACGGAUGGCGCGGAAGAACCCACUGCAGCGCGGACGAGCUCGGCGACGCGGCCGAGCCAUUCUUCGUAGACGUUGUCGAUGGGAUGGUAGCGCAGGAGCUCGUUCGCCGCGAUGAGUGCAGCCCGAGCCUCCAUGGGCGCGCGGAGCGCACGGGACGAAGAUCCAGCUGGGGCGAGCGAGGGAGUUGCGGUGCGGCCGUCUUGGCGCACGGACGGAUGCUGAGACGAUGCUUGUUGCUCGUCCCCCACCGGGCCGGUGGCGGCGUUGAUGGCAGGUGACGGGGAACGGCAAGGACGCCCGCCGACAGGGGCCGUCUGGGCGACGUGGGAAGCGAGGGUGGCCCGGCGCUCCGCGCGGGCCCGACGAGCGUCAGACAUGAGCGUGAUGGUCGGAGGAGAACGGGGUGGUGAAAGACGAAUUCCGGCGCACCCCUACCUGGCGCGCCAAAUGUCGGAUUUUGGGUUCCGGCAGACCCUUGAGGUUCGAACACUGGGGUGCGCGCGGAGAUUUCGCCUCCUACCUACCUGCACCCCUCUGUCGUGCUAGGAUCAAAACUAUCGAAAGAACAACACAAGAGACACAGAGUUUAUACUGGUUCGGGCCACCGUUGUGGUGUAAUACCCUACUCUAGUGUGUGGUGUGUGGAUUGCCUCUUGGGCUGAUGAUGAUGAACAAUACAAGGAAGAACAGCCUCGCGAGGGUCUGUUCUUGGCUGGGGCGAUGAACUGCUGGGAGGAGUUCAGUCACCUCUCUCUCUCUCUCUCUCUCUCUCUCUCUCUCUCUCUCUCUCUGCUUCCAACUGGCCGACCCCUUGCCAUGUGGGUGGCUGGUCCUAUUUAUAGAGGCCCUGGUCCUCUUCCCAAAUAUUGAGCGGGAAGGGAACCAACAAUGGCGGGCUAAUUUAAAGGGGGACAGCAAGUAUCAGCUAUCCUGACAAAAGUAGUCUUCGCCUGUGCAAAGCUCUGGUGAUGACGCUGUCUUGGGCUCCACGGUGUCCUCCGUCUCGUAGUCCUCCUGGUUUUGGUCUCGUUGCACCGAAAUGGCAAACUUUGCCUGACGCCUCGUUACUCCGCGGCUGCGCUUGCCCCCUUUGCACCAAAGAGGAAAGGAGGACGCUGCGCGGGCUGGCACCCGCCUGGCGCCCUGGGUCGUCAUGGCUUGCGUCACGGGCACCUCGCGAGGUACCCCGCCUUGAUCUCUCCGCCUCCUCGUGAGCCAGCCUGGCGAGGCCGUGCCUGAGGAAGCUCUGUGUCGUCCGCCCCGCGAGGCUUGGCCCCUCACGAGGGUCUUGAGUUUGUGUUGGUGAAGAUGGGCCAUGCUGGUCCCCCCUUUGAGGUACGCCGCAGGCCGCAGGCAGGCAAGUCUGGGGACCCCCGUUCCCAGAAGGCCGACAGUUGUAGAUAAUGACCUCCCUUCCAGCUUAUCCAAAAAUAAUAUUAUGAUUUUAUCUGAAACAGUGAAAGAAUACUAUACAAUUAUAAUUAACAAAAACAUAAUUUCUACAAUAUAAGCUUGAGAAAGAUAGAGGUAACAAUCAAGGAUGACAUGUCAAAUUACAAUGUAGAUAGAGCAUAAAUGCGGUAUGUAAAAAUAUUCUGAUAUGCAGAGUGAUACCAAGAGAAACAAUGGCAAAGCACUGACUAGCAGGCGCUUGUAUAACAAAGUAGGAUCCCAGAUCAAGCCAUGGAGAAAUAAAAAGUCUGGGCAAUAUAAAUUAUGGAAUGAUGCAGAGGCGGAGGAACCAUCUUCCAUUAUUUAAAAAAUAAGUUAAGCAUAUCAAUAGAACAAGCGGAAGUUCUGGAGCCAUGACCAUUGGUGAGUUCUCCAGUCAUUGCAAACUUCACACAUAUCAUGAUAGCAGAAACAAAAAUAUGUUCCGACAGAACAAUUUGUAGGCAUUGGAGCAUGUUGAUAAAAUUUAGUAUGCUAGAACAAAGGUAGGCAAUUUUGUAAAAGUAAUGGUUUCGGUGAAGGUCAUAUUAGUCCAUGGAGUAACCACAACAGCAACCAAUCAGUCCAUAGAGUAACCAAAAUAAUAACAUCCACUACAAAGUGGCUGGGUAGGGAGCGAGAGGCAUACCUGAAAUAGUGUUGCCGGGCAAUGGGGAUGGCCUUGCGACGUUGUGGUUGUCGAACCAUCAUGCCUGCUGAAGCUCCUUCUGCCCAUCUCUUUUCCUUGCCUUCAGCAAUCGCAAAAUUAAGCACAAACUAACAACAGCAUAAUAAAUGAUUUUUUUCUUUAAUAAAAAACUAACUUGCAGUAUAGUUCUACAAGCAGUUAAGUCAAUAAAGCUAUAGGAGAAGAUUUGGAAUCAUAGAAGUACAGGGAGAUUGAAAACACAAGCCUGACAUGUUCUUCGUAACAAAUAAUUUUGAUUAUUUGUUCUAAAGCAUAUUUACUAUGUCCUGAACUGAACCAAACUGAAUUACACUGAUUAAUUUUGGACUAACAACGCUCUUCCAAUACAUCAACCAGGAAACAAUUCCAAGAUAUACAGAUAAGAUCAACCUAAGCAGUUUACUUGUUACUCACAAGAGAUACAAAAUUUCAAAUUGGCUUCAAGAAAUAACAUCAUUGGUACAUCUAUGCCUAAUGGUGAAGGGUGCUGCUAAUGGUCAAAUAUAUUACACUUCAUUGAGAAACUUCAGAACACUGAAGCAAAUAUUUUUUUAUGAUAGCAGCUUGAAGUUCAAAUAUCAUUUGUUGAACAACUAUCCACCUGUAUGACACUGCACAUUAGGAAAAAAAAGAACCAUCACAUACUCUAAACAAUUUAUUAAAAUGUCACAUUAAUUUAGGGUACAUGAUAUAAAAACUCCCAAGUGUAUGCCUAAUUGACUUUCAGACCAUUAGAAAAUAAGGUGUGCGUCUCUUACACAUCCUCACUACCAUGAGAAGCCACCUCCAUACCCAAGCCUCUAUUCCAGGCAAGGUUUUUGCUUCAAGGUUGAGCCACUUGGGUGAAAGUGACCCAUGGUGAAUUGUGGAUGUGCCACAUGCUAUUAUUUUGGUACACGGCGGUGUACAAAUGCCUUGUGGAUUUAGGUUUUUGAUUCAAAUUUUUUGAACGUCAUUGCUUCAUCGUUGUGUAGUCGCCGUGUAGCUCUAGUGCUAGCUUCUUGUUUGUCUUUUGUGUGCCGAGGUUGUUUCUGUAGUUGCUGAUUGCAUGGAUCAUAUUGCAUGGUUUCUAAAUUUGAUUUGACUACGUCGGGUUGGGCCGUUCCUAUUUGGAUGGAUCGGUGAUCAUGUGUACUAGAUAUUUUUCAUUCCAUGUUUGUUGGCUAAUAGAGACAUUGCCACGCGAGUAGCUAGAUCUGAGACGUUGACACGUAUUGAUUUAGAACGGUGCCUUCGAUUGGUAUCUGGAUGAUCGGAGAGCCCUCAAGUCUCCCGAAGGAUCCCGUCGAAUCUUGUUUUACCGUUGUUUGUCUCUAUGAAACCCUCCACACUCCCAACGUCGUCCUUCGGUCGAACAUGGCGUGGGCGUCGCCCGCGGCUCCGGCGAUCCUAGCCAGAGUUGUUCACGCCGUCAUCCGGACACGCUCUGGGGGCGAACCUCCCAUAGGAAGGUGCACAGAGGAAGAUGCGUGCAGACCAUGCUGGGGGCCAUGAAUGUGGUUGUGUCGGUCUUGCUCCUGAGUUGCGUCAGGCUACAGCUGACGGAUACCAGUGGGCAAUCACUGGUGCCCAUGAGCGUCGGCCGUCCGUCUCCGCUCCCCCUCUUUCUCUCUUAUCUUCCACUGCGGCUCCAUCCCCAGCACCCCGUCCUGUCGAGAUCAGCCACGGGCCUGCCUUCUGCAGUCCUCCUUCCAUUCUCCUAGAAGCUCCAUGGAGUUUCAGCCAACGUUGUUGGGCAUCUAUACGCGGUGACAACGUACAUGCACACGUCGGCCAAGGAGGAGGCCCUGGUCACCGUUAGCGAGUCUUGUGGAUUCACUGACCUCCGUGACCGCGGCCUCGGACGUGGUUUUCAUCAUGGUCGACAAACACGACGACGUCGGCACGGUCGGCUUGGACGCCGCUCGGAGGUCCUUGCAGGGCUCCGCCCGUACGACGUGCUCAUAGAUUGCAUGAACUCUUCCCCUCCCACGCGGCGCCUGGUGCCACGCUAUUGACUCUAGGAGCGGCGUUGGCGCUCGCGAUGGCAUGCUCACCCUCCCCGAUGGCAGCGAUGAGGCCGUCCUCUGGCUCGGAGGACCUAUCUGCAUGGGCCCACCGGCAGCGGCCAGAGCAGCAAAAUUGCCGUGGCAGGCGUGGUGGUUGGCCUCGAGCCCUUAGCGAGUCCUUGGUCUGGUCUUUUCCAGCGCCGCUGGGCUCGAGUGUGGAGGAGGAGGCUCAGGUGAGCGGCGACUUCACAUCCGGGGUGCCGUGCGGUACAUCAAGGACCUCGGCAUGGCACUGGAGCCUGGAGGUCGCUGACGUCCAGGAGGAGGAGGCCGGUGAUCUGUACCCAGGUUUGUACCGGCAGUCCGGCAGAUGUUCUCGGCCAUGGAGGCGAACCGUGACGGCGGCGUGUAUGGACUGGUCAUCAUCGUCGGAUGCCUGAACGGGGUCCACGAGUAAGGUAGGUAAGGCAGAUAGCUGUCGACCAAGGUUGUUGUUGGGUCGAGGGCGACGUCCGCGGCGCAUCUAGUGGCCUCCAUCGAGCGGAGCUACCCACGUCCGCUAUCACCGUGUAACCCGACACGGCGCGCCACUUCCCGGCAUCUUUGCAUUCAUCUCGCAUGUUAUAUAUAUAUAGAGAGAGAGAGAAGGGUGCUGGACAAGUGAUCCAUUCACAACGCUACACUUCAAAACUUUCUACAAUUAUAAUUUGUGUAGUAGUUUGAGUGGAGGAUAAAGGCAAGGAGCUCCUCCUCAGAUCUUCAGAGUAAAGGCAUAUUGUCUGUAUAGUGUCAUUUACUGUUCUUGCUGCCAAGUUAGUGUGCAUUUACGCCGUAUUAGCUACUGCAUUUGCCUCCUUAGUAUUCGAUCAAAUCCUGGUUGAGCCGCAGUGAUGGUGAUUACGUCGUUGUCGUUGUUGGGCUAAGAGACACUGGAUUAGGCCGAUUCCUAGACGUAUACUCUGUCAGGCAGCUUUUGUAUACUUAUUUCCAGUUUUGAGAAGUUUCAGACAUUCUGCAUUCUAAUUCUAAAUUCUCAAUUCUCAAUUCUCAAUUGCUAGCUGGGAUUUUUUAGGCUUUUCUGAGUGUUUUCGGCAGGGAUAUUAUAGCCAAUGGGGUGAUGACACAUUAAUUAGUGGGGAUCUGGCCAGGUGCACUUUAGGGUGGAUCUUGCAAUUAUGGUGGCAAGCAGUUCCUGGUCAACCACACAUCCAGUUUGUCAGGCGGUGCUAUUCUUUGUCUGCAGCAGGUGGAGCACGCAACAUGUGGAGCGAUGGGAUGGGAUUUUUUUGAUGUGACCACGUGCAUGCACCGACUGGCUCUCUGCAUGCAGCGGUUUUCAGAUUUCUCUUCAUUCUUUAUUCCUUAUCUUAAAAGAUAAUAACUCCAUUGGAUAUCCUGAGCACGACGGGUCGCCAUUUCGACCUUCUACGGUCGCGCGCGGUGGCCUUCGUAUGGUCUAAGCCAGCAUGCCUGCAGCCAGUGGUUGAUAGCUCACGGCCCUAGUGCUCUCCAUUCCGUGAUAGCUCAUGUCUUCUCGCCGCCGGCGUUGGUAAAUCCAUCGAUGUUCUUGAUUUCGAGCUCUCUCGCGCCUUGAACCCAUCCAACUCGCCAGCUAUUCUAGCUUGUGCCCGUUGAGUCGACUUCAUGCCCGCCAGACCACCGAAGCAGAUGGCCUGUGGGGCUACAGCUGCGAGGUCCAGCUCCAGCGAUAGCAUGUGCGGUGCAUGAUGAGCAUGGCGCGCCGGAUCCACACUUUUUCAUGUCCACAUUGUGAAGAUCCUAUCAUUAUAUACACAUGUGCCAAGCUGCCUAUGGGCCGGAGGCAACAGUUCGCAGAAGAUGAAAUCUAGCAAUAAUUAUCUAUAUUUCUUUCAUCUUACUGCAAUAGAGUCGUGCCACGACAAGAAUAAAUGAUCCUAUCACAGAUGUAUGAACAUGUGUUUCCGUGUUUAGCAACAUGCAUGAUGCCAGUAAAUUAGCUUAUUUCCUACUUAUUUUCCCUGUAUCCACAAUUUUAUGUACAAUAAUUGCUAUAUGAGAUAGAUAAGACUAAUGCAAAAACUAAACACAAUUGAAAUGAACACAUCGUACCAACGGGCGCGGCAUGUCGCCGCGCGGGCUAUGCUAGUUUGACACUUACAAAGAAGGAAAUCUCAGGAAGAUUUGAUGCUUACCUCAGGGCAUGGCGACGGCUAGCUUCGAGAGGGGCGCAGCUCGAAGGGGAUGGAUCCCCAGCAGGACCGGCAGCAGCGGAAGCCCAGAGACGGAGGCCCGGCAACAGCAGGUGCGGCAACGGCGGGAGCCCGGAGAUGGGGCCCCGGCAGCAGCAGGGCGGGGAUUGGCGAGGACGACGGCUGGAUGUCGAGGGGGCGGCCCAAGGACGGCGGUUGUAUGUGGAUCUUGAGGGCGGCAGCUCAGUCUCGGGAUGGAGUGCAAGGACGGGUGGAUGUUGGGGUGGAGCUCGGGGGCGGGGGAAUACGAGCUCCGACACGACGGCUUGAUGAUGGGGUGGAGUGCGAGGCCGGCGGCAGGACUGUGGAUCGAGCAUGAGGGCGGCGGCAGCAGCCACUGGUUAGGGUUGUGGAAUCGGGUUCGAGUUGGGGUCCUUGGGGAUAUUCUGCACGGGGGUGAAGGAUGUUUUGCACGAACACCCCCAAAAUUCCCCCCUCGCGCGAAAAUCGCGCGCCACAAGUUUCCAACCUUCAGUCCAUUGACACGCGUCCAUCUACGCCGACACUUAGUUUGUGUCCAUACACCCUACGUACGCCGACACAUUUUAGGUCGCUAAGUACAUACCUACGCCAACUGAAAAAAUGUCAAGGUCCAUACAUACGCUGACAUAUAACAUGUUAUUAAACAAUUACUAACAGAUACACCGUUGCUUUGUGAUUGCUGACUCUUAGUGUGUCCAUAGUGAUGACCUUUACCGACACAUGAUCCGAAGACAAAGCAUAAAAGCUAUGGUGACAGUUAUUUUGUGGAGAUUAUUGGACCUUUGCCCCCAAAAAUGUGUCACGGAAGCUCUACCGUGGUGUAGUGCAUUGGGCCAGCUGGUUGGGAAGAGGUAGUUCUUCGUACGCACCCCAGUGUUCGAACCUCUCAAGGUUCUGUGGAGCCCACGAUCCGACAAGCAUAGAACACCUUAUCCAUACAGACUUUAGCACUAUCAAGUUGCUUAUCAUCAUAUCCUUUUUGAUUUCCAGCAACAAUCCAAGAAUAGUGUUGAUUAACAUCAUUGAAAACUUGUUGGAUUAUAUCUAAAACAGGGACUUCCUUUUAAGAUUCUCAUCAAAGAUUUGAUUAUCCCCAAGCAAAUGUAUUAGCGCAUAAUCACUAUUAUAAAGAAUUUCAUCGAUCACCGGUUUUCAUGAUUCAUACCAUAGAAAUCAAAAAUUUCUCUAGCUUCCCGUACUAUGUAAUCAAAUUCACUCAUAAGAACAAGGGUGACCAACUUUUUGGCUUUGGGGUUCUUUAUAACGGGUAACUCAAAAAACAAUCGUUGCAGGGUAGGAUGUGUACGGAUAAAUUUAUUUUCAAGUUUCGGAACUAGUGCUGAAAUAGCUUCCGCAUAAGAUUUAUUCCUCUUAAGAAUAGGAGCAUCAUCAAGACUGAAAUUUCCAACACAAUUGAAAAAUUCUUGGAUACUUUCUUUUCCUAUAACAUUCCCUUGCCUCAAAAUAAAAGUUUUAGCAUCCAGAUUGCCAGAUCGUCCAAUUUUAGGAUUUAGGCCAUCAUCUGUUUCUGUCAUACCAAAGUCACUCAUGGUGACGAAUCUAGCAAACAAAAAUCCAAUGAGAAACGCGAACGAGAAAGAGGACGAAUAAAACGGCAAAUUUUUGUGAAGUGGGGGAGAGAAAAACAAGAGGAAAAUGGAAAAUAAUGUAAAUUGCAAGGAGAUGAGAUUUGUGAUUAGGAUCCUGGUAGAUGUUGAUGAUGUCUCCCCGGAAACGGUGCCAGAAAUUCCUUUUGAUGCAGCCUCAACUACGUCAGUAUUUCGCCAAAGAGGAAGGGAUGAUACAACACAACUACGGUAGGUAUUUCCCUCAGUGAUGAGACCAAGGUUAUCAAACCAGUAGGGGAACCACGCAACACCACGUAAACAACUCCUGCACACAAAGAACAACUACUUGCAUCCCACGUAAGAGAGGCGUUGUCAAUCCCUCACGGGUAAAAAGAUAGGUAAAAUUAUAGUAGAUUGGAUAAAUAGAUCUUGUGGGAACGCGAGAUAAAAUAAAUAAAUAAAUAAAAAUUGAAGCAAGGUAUUUUUGUAUUUUUUGAAUUAAUAGAUCUGAAAAUAAAAGCAAAUAAAAAAAGAUCGUGAAGGCAAAUAUAAUAAAGAGACCCGGGGCCCGUAGAUUUCACUAGUGGCUUCUCUCGAGAAAAUAGCAUAUGGUGGGUAAACAGAUUACUGUUGGGCAAUUGAUAGAACUUCAAAUAAUCAUGACGAUAUCCAGGCAAUGAUCAUUAUAUAGGCAUCACGUCCAAGAUUAGUAGACCAACUCCUGCCUGCAUCUAAUCGACCGCUAUCCAGCAUGCAUCUAGUGUAUUAAGUUCAUGGAGAAACGGAGUAAUGCAAUAAGAAUGAUGACAUAAUGUAGACAAGAUCUAUUUAUGUAGAAAUAUACCCCAUCUUGUUAUCCUUAAUAGCAAUGAUACAUAUGUGUCGUUUCCCCUACUGUCACUGGGAUCAAGCACCGUAAGAUCGAACCCAUCACAAAGCACCUCUUCCCACAGCAAGAAAAAUUGAUCGAGUCGACCUAACUAAACCAAAGAUUCAAAGAAGAAAUACGAGGUUAUAAGUAAUCAUGCAUAUAAGAGAUCAAAAGACUCAAAUAACUAUAGUGGAUAAAAACAUAGAUCUAAUCAUAAACUCAAAAUUCAUGAUAUCCCAACAAACACGCUGCAAAAAGAGUUACAUCAAAUAGAUCUCCAAGAGACGAUUGUAUUGAGAAUCAAAAGAGAGAUAGGAAACCAUCUAGCUACUAACUACGGACCCGUAGGUCUACAAAGGAUUACUCACGCAUCAUCGGAGAGGCACCAAUGAGGAUGAUGAACCCCUCUGUGAUGGUGUUUAGAUUGGAUCUGUGGUUUCUAGAACUUGCAGUGGAUGGAAUUGAUUUUUGUCGACUCCCCUAGGGUUUCUGGAAUAUUGGGGUAUUUAUAGAGCAAAGAGGCGGUGCAAGAGGCCAUCGAGGUGGGCACAACCCACCUAGGCGCGCCCUGGUGGGUUGUGACCCCCUCGGGGCACCCCCCCAAGUGCUUCUCCGGCCCAUCGGGUGUCUUCUGGUCCAUAAAAAAUCCACAGAAAUUUCGUUGCAUUUGGACUCCGUUUGAUAUUGAUUUUCUGUGAUGUAAAAAACAAGCAAGAAACAACAACUGGCUCUGGGCACUAUGUCAAUAGGUUAGUCCCAAAAAAUGAUACAAAAUGAUUAUAAAAUGAUUUUGAAACAUCCAGGACUGAUAAAAUAACAACAUGGAACAAUUAAAAUUUAUAGAUACGUUGGAGACGUAUCACUGUGCUACCUCGUCCUUCUUCCCAGAGCACAAAUUUCGACGGUGAGCUAAUCUACGUCGAUCUUCCUUGUCAUAUCAUUUCUCCUUGAACAACACACUUUAUUUUGAGUUUGUGUCAUAUCCAUGGUUCCAAUAACCUUUUGCUUCAUCAUUCCUUUGAGUUGAUGUCAUCGCCGAUCGAUUACAUCGUCAUGAAAUCUCUCGACAAAUGUGUCGUGAUCAUCAUCAGCAUUCUAAGCUCUUCUAGGAUAUCAAUAGAAUUCAUGAUGAGAAAUACCAUCCUUGCCCCUCGGUGGUUUGCGUUAUCAUCGACAACGUUAUUGCCCUCCCUGCAACACAAACUUGUUCAUGUUUGGUGCAGUACCUCGAGUUCCUUUUCAUCCAGCUUGUGGUAUGUUCUACCUUGGAAUAUUACCAUCUUUUAUGUCAGGGAUGUCAUGGGAAUUUCACCACCUCUGGAGAAUUAUUGAUACAAGUGAUACUUAUCAGCAUCACCAUUCUGUUCCUGGUCACCGUGUUGUUUCUAACCACCGACAAAUGGACUGUGAUGUGUAAUUCCAAAACUUCUAGCAACCCUAUUGCUUGAAGUUAAUGGUUGAUAGCUUGAUUCUUAGCCUAUUGGUUAUUAAAUCACCAUUCUAACAUUGAUCAUACUACCUAAGGCCAUAUUUUGGGUGCACCUUUCAACAAAUGUUUAAUUGUGUAUGUUUUCCUCGAGCAUACAUCACUAUAUCAUUUGAACUAACAAAUGUUAUCUCCUUGUUCACAUAAUUGUGGAAAUCCAUAUUUUUGGAAAUCUCGAGGAAUUGUCACUGAGUCCAUCAGCCACCCCCUCAUCCUCUCCUUGGAUUAAUGAUGAAAUCUUGUUUCGCAACUCGCUUCCAUAGUUCAUUUCCUGAGAAUCUUACAAUGUCAUCUCUUCAAUUGUGUUACACCUUUUCUUCUUAGGCAUCCCGAGUCUGAGGUAUCCUGACACCAAUCAGGUCCUAGUCUUGGUCAGAUAUGAUGGUUGGAACAUAUUUCCAAGAGUUAUAACAUUGGUAUUUAUAAGACCUGGUAAGGUGAUGUCAUGCCUAGCACACCUGGGCGGAGGACCUAUUGUUAUAGUAUCCUUUUUAGCAAGUUUAUUCAUUCUUCCAUGAGGAAAUUGUAAGACUUUUUCUAUAAGUUGUUUCUGAUGGAUCCUUUGUGAAUCCAAAGUCUGAUAUUUACCCAAUGACCAUGUCAAUGCUAUCUCGAAGCAUGUCUGGGCACAAUGCUAAAUUUUCUUUAUCAUGUAUCCUAAAACAGUUGUAUGGGUAAUAUCAUAUAAUCCCCCCCCCUUACCUCAAUGGUUUUCUAGUUUCUAUCAUGUCAUCGAUAUCAUGCUCCGCUUGUCCUUGGGAAGGAUAUACCCCUGAAAUAUGUGUGUAUACACAUUUUCCUUUCCAUUGUUCUGUUUAAACCUGAUAAUCACUUUUCCUUUCCAUUGGUUUGUUUAACUUCUUGUGAUCUAUAUUAUAUAAGCAGCAAUAUUUCCCUGUUUAUGUAAACAACUUGUUGUACCACUGUGUCAGUAAGACCCUGUUACUUUUGUUGAUACAUUCCGAUAACCACCGAUGGAUGAGAACUUUGCCUAUUGGUCCGCCUCAUUCAACGAGCAGGAAAAUUGUACUCUUCAUCCCUCCCUUGGUACCGAUGUUGUUGUCGACAUAACUGACAGGCUAUCCUCUGACAUGCCUUGCCUACAUUAUCGUGCAAGACGUCAUCUCCCUUCCUACUUUUAACCCACGUGGUGGGCCCAUAACCCACAGUUCCAUUGGAUCGAAACCCGACUCUCCUGUACACCCCCUGGUCCCAAGGUUGUUCCUCGCACGUGGCCUCAUAUGUAAUUCAUGAGCCACCUUCAAAUCUGGUAUCAGACACAAUACUUAUUCCCGUUGUUUUGAACCCCUUUCACGUCGUGUAACAGGCAUCAAAUGAUUGCCUGCCCGCUCAGAACUUCCCGGGAUACCUCCUUACUUUGCACUCGAUAUUUUCUUAAGUUUCAAUUCGAGAGUUACUUUCCGCCACCUUCCCCGAUGUUAUCGGCCAAAUAGUCAACAUUGCAAAGGUCCAUUCUCCCGGAAUACCCACCCUUUAUUCUUUCGUAAGUACGAUGGAGUUCUUGAAGAAAGGAUGCCGACUUAAUCAUGAUGACCUGAAGUAGAGAAAUUAAGACAUCAACGUAAUGGAUCGACCUCUUCGAGAAGAGCAACCAAGACCGAGAAGAUUCGAUAGAAUUUCACAGCCAGAUCUUUGCCCCUUACUCCACCUCAUAAAAUCUUAGGACGAGAUUUUGUAGUGGAGGAGAAUUGUGACGCCCGAAUAAUUAAGCUACAAUGAACCUCUGCUAAUGAUGCCAUGACGCCUCGGUUACUGGUGAUAAACUCACGUUGAUUCAAAACCGACUAAAAUUCAAAUUCAAAAUCAAGUUAAGCGGUAAAGGUUUUCAAAUAUUAAAGCUACAUGUUCGGGUGGAGCCAAAUAAUGCAUAGGUAAUUAUUGUGGAGAAACCACACUUUUAUAAAAUGUUUAAAUGCUCUAAAAUGAAUAAAACAAUUGCUAAAACAAUUAAAUAAAUGCCUUUUGAAUUUUAUAAAAUACUAAACUAUUUUGUUCGGGGGUAAAACCUUUUGUGACAGUAGUUGGAACUAUAACUCUAUUUUAGGUGUGGGUUUUACUUUUUGUAAUACUAUAAACUAUUAAAGAAAUAAAAGAAAAAUAAAUAAAAGAAAAGGUAAAAAUAAAACAAGAGAAAAGAAAAACCAAAUCCCCCUCCCCCUAGGCCGUUCGGCCCAACCGGGCAUCCACGCCACCAGGCCAGCCCACCCCAUCCCCCCUUAUCCCCCCGGGUGACCGAGACCUCACUCCCCCCACUCGCCCCCACUCUCCCUCGUCUCUCCCCCACCUCUCGAUCUUAUUCUGGAUCAGGAAGGGGGCAACGAACCCGGUGCCUAAUGAGGACAUCAAUACCAUUGUUACACCCACAGCGCCUACUGCUACAUAUACAAGACCAAUUACUAGUGCUCGCGCACGCCAAUUAAAUUAUCAGGUGCUUUCAUUUCUUGGUAAUGAUUCUAAUGUUCAUGAGAAUAUGAUGCUUCCUAAAUUGGAUACCUUUGUUUUUCUUACAAAUGAAAGGCCUAGCAUGGACAAGAGGGAUGAUCACUUGAGCAAGAUCAAGCAUGGAGAUGAUGGCAUGCGCAAGGGAAACAAGACUGGAGUUUCAAGUGAUGACUUCGGGACUUUGAAGCCACCAUAAUGAGUGUAUGAAAGCUUGGAAGAAAUAUACAAGAUGCCACUUCCUAAAUUUCGUCCAGAGGCUAUUAUAGGUGUUGCGUCGCCUUACUAUUGGGCCAGUGUUGGGGAACGCGGUAAUUUCAAAGAAUUUCCUACGCACACGCAAGAUCAUGGUGAUGCAUAGCAACGAGAGGGGAGAGUGUGAUCUACAUACCUAGUAGAUCGACAACGGAAGCGUUUGGUUGAUGUAGUCGUACGUCUUCACGGCCCAACCGAUCAAGCACCGAAACUACGGCACCUCCAAGUUCUAGCACACGUUCAGCUCGAUGACGAUCCCCGGACUCCGAUCCAGCAAAGUUUCGGGGAAGAGUUCCGUCAGCACGACAGCGUGGUGACGAUCUUGAUGUACUACUGCAGCAGGGCUUCGCCUAAACUCCGCUACAAUAUUAUCGAGGACUAUGGUGGCUGGGGGCGCCGCACACGGCUAAAGAGAAGAUCACGUGGAUCAACUUGUGUCUUUGGGGUGCCCCUUGCCUCAGUAUAUAAAGGAUGGAGGAGGAGGAGGCCGGCCAAGGUUGGUGCGGCCAGGAUGUGGAGUCCUACUAGGACUCCAAGUCCUAGUAGGAGUCCACCAAGAGGGGAGGAAGGGAGAAGGAAGUGGAGGAGAAGGAGAGGUGGCCGGCCCCCUUUUCCCUAGUCCAAUUCGGACUAGAGGGGAGGGGGGGCGCAGCAGCCCCUUGGCCCUUUCUCCUCUUCCCACUAAAGCCCAUCAAGGCCCAUUGCUUCUCCCGUAACUACCCGGUACUCCGAAAAAUACCCGAAUCACUCGGAACCUUUCCGAUGUCCGAAUAUAGUCAUCCAAUAUAUCGAUCUUUACGUCUCGACCAUUUCGAGACUCCUCGUCAUGUCCCCGAUCUCAUCCGGGACUCCGAACUCCUUCGGUACAUCAAAACUCAUAAACUCAUAAUAUAACUGUCAUCGAAACCUUAAGCGUGCGGACCCUACGGGUUCGAGAAUAAUGUAGACAUGACCGAGACACGUCUCCGGUCAAUAACCAAUAGCGGGACCUGGAUGCCCAUAUUGUCUCCUACAUAUUCUACGAAGAUCUUUAUCGGUCAGACCGCAUAACAACAUACGUUGUUCCCUUUGUCAUCGGUAUGUUACUUGCCCGAGAUUUGAUCGUCGGUAUCUUAAUACCUAGUUCAAUCUCGUUACCGGCAAGUCUCUUUACUCGUUCCAUAAUACAUCAUCUCACAACUAACUCAUUAGUUGCAAUGCUUGCAAGGCUUAUGUGAUGUGCAUUACCGAGAGGGCCCAGAGAUACCUCUCCGACAAUCGGAGUGACAAAUCCUAAUCUCGAAAUACGCCAACCCAACAUGUACCUUUGGAGACACUUGUAGAGCUCCUUUAUAAUCACCCAGUUACGUUGUGACGUUUGGUAGCACACAAAGUGUUCCUCCGGCAAACGGGAGUUGCAUAAUCUCAUAGUCAUAGGAACAUGUAUAAGUCAUGAAGAAAGUAAUAGCAACAUACUAAACGAUCGGGUGCUAAGCUAAUGGAAUGGGUCAUGUCAAUCACAUCAUUCUCCUAAUGAUGUGAUCCCUUUAAUCAAAUAACAACUCUUUUGUUUAUGGUUAGGAAACAUAACCAUCUUUGAUUAACGAGCUAGUCAAGUAGAGGCAUACUAGUAACACUUUGUUUGUCUAUGUAUUCACACAAGUAUUAUGUUUCCGGUUAAUACAAUUCUAGCAUGAAUAAUAAACAUUUAUCAUGAUAUAAGGAAAUAAAUAAUAACUUUAUUAUUGCCUAUAGGGCAUAUUUCCUUCAGUCUCCCACUUGCACUAGAGUCAAUAAUCUAGUUCACAUCGCCAUAUGAUUUAACAGCAAUAGUUCACAUCACCAUGUGAUUAACACCCAUAGUUCACAUCGAUAUGUGAUCAACACCCAAAAGGGUUUACUAGAGUCAGUAAUCUAGUUCACAUCGCUAUGUGAUUAACACCCAAAGAGUACUAAGGUGUGAUCAUGUUUUGCUUGUGAGAUAAUUUUAGUCAACGGGUCUGCCACAUUCAGAUCCGUAAGUAUUUUGCGAAUUUCUAUGUCAACAAUGCUCUGCACGGAGCUACUCUAGCUUAUUGCUCCCACUUUCAAUAUGUAUCUAGAUCGAGACUUAGAGUCAUCCAGAUCUGUGUCAAAACUUGCAUCGACAUAACUUUUUACGAUGAACCUUGUUUUCACCUCCAUAAUUGAGAAAUAUUUCCUUAUUCCACUAAGGAUAAUUUUGACCGAUGUCCAGUGAUCUACUCUUAGAUCACUAUUGUACUCCCUUGCUUAACACAGUGUAGGGUAUACAAUAGAUCUGGUACACAGCAUGGCAUACUUUAUAGAACCUAUGGCUGAGUCAUAGGGAAUGACUUUCAUUCUAUUUCUAUCUUCUGCCGUGGUCGGGCUUUGAGUCUUACUCAAUUUCACACCUUGCAACACAGGCAAGAACUCUUUCUUUGACUGUUCCAUUUUGAACUACUUCAAAAUCUUGUCAAGGUAUGUACUCAUUGAAAAACUUAUCAAGCGUCUUGAUCUAUCUCUAUAGAUCUUGAUGCUCAAUAUGUAAGCAGCUUUACCGAGGUCUUUCUUUGAAAAACUCCUUUCAAAUAUUCCUUUAUGCUUUCCAGAAUAAUUCUACAUUAUUUCCGAUCAACAAUAUGUCAUUCACAUAUACUUAUCAGAAAUGUUGUAGUGCUCCCACUCACUUUCUUGUAAAUACAGGCUUCAUCGCAAGUCUGUAUAAAACUAUAUGCUUUGAUCAACUUAUCAAAGCGUAUAUUCCAACUCCAAGAUGCUUGCACCAGUCCAUAGAUGGAUCGCUGGAGCUUGCAUAUUUUGUUAGCACCUUUAGGAUUGACAAAACCUUCUGGUUGUAUCAUAUACAACUCUUCUUUAAUAAAUCUAUUAAGGAAUGCAGUUCUGUUUAUCCAUUUGCCAGAUUUCAUAAAAUGCGACAAUUGCUAACAUGAUUCGGACAGACUUAAGCAUAGAUACGAGUGAGAAAAUCUCGUCGUAGUCAACACCUUGAACUUGUCGAAAACCUUUUGCGACAAUUCUAGCUUUGUAGAUAGUAACACUACUAUCAGCGUCCGUCUUUCUCUUGAAGAUCCAUUUAUUUUCGAUGGCUUGCCGAUCAUCGGGCAAAUCCAUCGAAGUCCAUACUUUGUUCUCAUACAUGGAUCAUAUCUCAGAUUUUAUGGCCUCAAACCAUUUCGUGGAAUUUGGGCUCAUCAUCGCUUCCUCAUAGUUCGCAAGUUCGUCAUGGUCUAGUAACAUGACUUCCAGAACAGGAUUACUGUACCACUCUGGUGCGGAUCUCACUCUGGUUUACCUACGAGAUUCGGUAGUAACUUGAUCUGAAGUUACAUGAUCAUCAUCAUUAGCUUCCUCACUAAUUGGUGUAGUAGUCACAGGAACAGAUUUCUGUGAUGAACUACUUUCCAAUAAAGGAGCAGGUACAGUUACCUCAUCAAGUUCUACUUUCCUCCCACUCACUUCUUUCGAGAGAAACUCCUUCUCUAGAAAAACUCCGAAUUUAGCAACAAAAGUCUUGCCUUCGGAUUUGUGAUAGAAGGUGUACCCAAUAGUCUCCUUUGGGUAUCCUAUGAAGACAUAUUUCUCCGAUUUGGGUUUGAGCUUAUUAGGAUGAAACUUUUUCAUAUAAGCAUCACAACCCCAAACUUUAAGAAACGACAACUUUGGUUUCUUGCCAAACCACAGUUCAGAUUGUGUCGUCUCAACGGACUUAGAUGGUGCCCUUUUAAACAUGAAUGCAGCUGUCUUUAAUGCAUAACCCCAAAACGAUAGUGGUAGAUCGGUAAGAGACAUCAUAGAUCGCACUAUAUCCAAUAAAGUACGGUUAUGACGUUCGGACACACCUUUACACUAUGGUGUUCCAGGUGGCGUGAGUAGUGAAACUAUUUCACAUUGUUUUAAUUGAAGGCCAAACUCGUAACUCAAAUACUCUUCUCUAUGAUCAGAUCGUAGAAACUUUAUUUUCCUUUUACGAUGAUUUUUCACUUCACUCUGAAAUUCUUUGAACUUUUCAAAUGUUUCAGACUUAUGUUUCAUCAAGUAGAUAUACUCAUAUCUGCUCAAAUCAUCUGUGAAGUUCAGAAAAUAACGAUACUUGCCGUGAGCCUUAACACUCAUCGGACCGCAUAUAUCAGUAUGUAUUAUUUCCAAUAAGUCAGUUGCUCGCUCCGGAGAAUGGAGUCUUAGUCAUCUUGCCCAUGAGGCAUGGUUCGCAAUCAUCAAGUGAUUCAUAAUCAAGUGAUUCCAAAAUCCCAUCAGCAUGGAGUUUCUUCAUGCGCUUUACACCAAUAUGACCUAAAUGGCAGUGCCACAAAUAAGUUGCACUAUCAUUAUUAACUUUGCAUCUUUUGGUUUCAAUAUUAUGAUUAUGUGUAUCACUACGAUCGAGAUCCAACGAACUAUUUUCAUUGGGUGUGUAACCAUAUAAGGUUUUAUUCAUGUAAACAGAACAACAAUUUAUUCUCUUACUUAAAUGAAUAGCCAUAUUACAAUAAACAUGAUCAAAUCAUAUUCAUGCUCAACGCAAACACGAAAUAACACUUAUUCAGGUUCAACACUAAUCCCGAAAGUAUAGGGAGUGUGCGAUGAUGAUCAUAUCAAUCUUGGAACCACUUCCAACACACAUCGUCACUUCACCCUUAACUAGUCUCUGUUUAUUCUGCAACUCCCGUUUCGAGUUACUAAUCUUAGCAACUGAACUAGUAUCAAAUACUGAGGGGUUCCUAUAAACACUAGUAAAGUACACAUCAAUAACAUGUAUAUCAAAUAUACUUAUGUUCACCUUGCCAUCCUUCUUAUCUGCCAAUCACUUGGGGUAGUUCCGCUUCCAGUGACCAGUCCCUUUGCAGUAGAAACACUUAGUCUCAGGCUUAGGACCAGACUUGGGCUUCUUCACUUGAGCAGCAACUUGCUUGCUGUUCUUCUUGAAGUUCCCCUUCUUCCCUCUGCCCUUUUCUUGAAACUAGUGGUCUUGUCUACCAUCAACACUUGAUGUUUUUCUCGAUUUCUACCUUCGUCAAUUUCCGCAUUACGAAGAGCUUGGGAAUCGUUUCCGUUAUCCCUUGCAUAUCAUAGGUCAUCACAAAGUUCUACUAACUUGGUGAUGAUGACUAGAGAAUUCUGUCAAUCACUAUCUUAUCUGGAAGAUUAACUCCCACUUGAUUCAAGCGAUUGUAGUACUCAGACAAUCUGAGCACAUGCUCACUAGUUGAGCGAUUCUCCUCCAUCUUCUAGCUAUAGAACUUGUUGGAGACUUUAUAUCUCUCAACUAGGGUAUUUGCUUGAAAUAUUAACUUCAACUCCUGGAACAUCUCAUAUGCUCCAUGAUGUUCAAAACGUCUUUGAAGUCCCGAUUCUAAGCCAUUAAGCAUGGUGCACUAAACUAUCAAGUAGUCAUCAUUUUGAGCUAGCCAAACGUUCAUAACGUCUGCAUCUGCUCCUGCAAUAGGUCCGUCACCUAGCGGUGCAUCAAGGACAUAGUUCUUCUGUGCAGCAAUGAGGAUAAACCUCAGAUCACGGAUCCAAUCCGCAUCAUUGCUACUAACAUCUUUCAACACAAUUUUCUCUAGGAACAUAUCAAAAUAAACAUAUGAAAGCAACAACGCGAGCUAUUGAUCUACAACAUAAUUUCCAAAAUACUACCAGGACUAAGUUCAUGAUAAAUUUAAGUUCAAUUUAAUCAUAUUACUUAAGAACUCCCACUUAGAUAGACAUCCCUCUAAUCCUCUAAGUGAUUACGUGAUCCAAAUCAACUAAACCAUGUCCGAUCAUCACGUGAGAUGGAGCAGUUUCAUUGGUGAACAUCACUAUGUUGAUCAUAUCUACUAUAUGAUUCACGCUCGACCUUUCGGUCUCCAUGUUCCGAGGCCAUAUCUGCAUAUGCUAGGCUCGUCAAGUAUAACCCGAGUAUUCUGCGUGUGCAAAAUUGGCUUGCACCCGUUGUAGAUGGACAUAGAGCUUAUCACACCCGAUCAUCACGUGGUGUCUGGGCACGACGAACUUUGUCAACGGUGCAAACUCAGGGAGAACACUUCUUGAUAAUUUAGUGAGAGAUCAUCUUAUAAUGCUACCGUCAAUCAAAGCGAGAUAAGAUGCAUAAAAGAUAAACAUCACAUGCAAUCAAUAUAAGUGAUAUGAUAUGGCCAUCAUCAUCUUGUGCCUGUGACCUCCAUCUUUGAAGCACCGUCGUGAUCACCAUCGUCACCGGCGCGACACCUUGAUCUCCAUCGUAGCAUCGUUGUCGUCUCGCCAAUCUUAUGCUUCCACGACUAUCGCUACCACUUAGUGAUAAAGUAAAGCAUUACAUCGCGAUUGCAUUGCAUACAAUAAAGCAACAACCAUAUGGCUCCUGCCAGUUGCCGAUAACUUGGUUACAAAACAUGAUCAUCUCAUACAAUAAAAUUUAGCAUCAUGUCUUGGCCAUAUCACAUCACAACAUGCCCUGCAAAAACAAGUUAGACAUCCUCUACUUUGUUGUUGCAAGUUUUACGUGGCUUCUACGGGCUUAAGUAAGAACCACUCUCACCUACGCAUCAAAACCACAACGAUAGUUUGUCAAUUUGACUCCGUUUUAACCUUCGCAAGGACCGGGCGUAGCCACACUCGGUUCAACUAAAGUUGGAGAGACUGUCGCCCGCAAGCCACCUAUGUGCAAAGCACGUCGGGAGAACUGGUCUCGCGUAAGCGUACGCGUAAUGUCGGUCCGGGUCGUCUCGUCCAACAAUACCGCCGAACCAAAGUAUGACAUGCUGGUAGGCAGUAUGACUUAUAUCGCCCACAACUCACUUGUGUUCUACUCGUGCAUAUAACAUCAAACCAUUAAACCUAGGCUCGGAUGCCACUGUAGGGGAACGCAGUAAUUUCAAAAAAAUUCCUACGCACACGCAAGAUCAUGGUGAUGCAUAGCAACGAGAGGGGAGAGUGUGAUCUACAUACCUAGUAGAUCGACAACGGAAGCGUUUGGUUGAUGUAGUCGUACGUCUUCACGGCCCGACCGAUCAAGCACCGAAACUACGGCACCUCCGAGUUCUAGCACACGUUCAGCUCGAUGACGAUCCCCGGACUCCGAUCCAGCAAAGUGUCAGGGAAGAGUUCCGUCAGCACGAUAGCGUGGUGACGAUCUUGAUGUACUACUGCAGCAGGGCUUCGCCUAAACUCCGCUACAAUAUUAUCGAGGACUAUGGUGGCUGGGGGCGCCGCACACGGCUAAGGAGAAGAUCACGUGGAUCAACUUGUGUCUUUGGGGUGCCCCUUGCCUCAGUAUAUAAAGGAUGGAGGAGGAGGAGGUCGGCCAAGGUUGGUGUGGCCAGGAUGUGGAGUCCUACUAGGACUCCAAGUCCUAGUAGGAGUCCACCAAGAGGGGAGGAAGGGAGAAGGAAGUGGAGGAGAAGGAGAGGUGGCUGGCCCCCUUUUCCCUAGUCCAAUUCGGACUAGAGGGGACGGGGGGCGCAGCAGCCCCUUGGCCCUUUCUCCUCUUCCCACUAAAGCCCAUCAAGGCCCAUUGCUUCUCCCGUAACUACCCGGUACUCCGAAAAAUACCCGAAUCACUCGGAACCUUUCCGAUGUCCGAAUAUAGUCGUCCAAUAUAUCGAUCUUUACGUCUCGACCAUUUCGAGACUCCUCGUCAUGUCCCCAAUCUCAUCUGGGACUCCAAACUCCUUUGGUACAUCAAAACUCAUAAACUCAUAAUAUAACUGUCAUCGAAACCUUAAGCGUGCGGACCCUACGGGUUCGAGAACAAUGUAGACAUGACCGAGACACGUCUCCGGUCAAUAACCAAUAGCGGGACCUGGAUGCCCAUAUUGGCUCCUACAUAUUCUACGAAGAUCUUUAUCGGUCAGACCGCAUAACAACAUACGUUGUUCCCUUUGUCAUCGGUAUGUUACUUGCCCGAGAUUCGAUCGUCGGUAUCUUAAUACCUAGUUCAAUCUCGUUACCGGCAAGUCUCUUUAUUCGUUCCAUAAUACAUCAUCUCACAACUAACUCAUUAGUUGCAAUGCUUGCAAGGCUUAUGUGAUGUGCAUUACCGAGAGGGCCCAGAGAUACCUCUCCGACAAUCGGAGUGACAAAUCCUAAUCUCGAAAUACGCCAACCCAACAUGUACCUUUGGAGACACCUGUAGAGCUCCUUUAUAAUCACCCAGUUACGUUGUGACGUUUGGUAGCACACAAAGUGUUCCUCCGGCAAAUGGGAGUUGCAUAAUCUCGUAGUCAUAGGAACAUGUAUAAGUCAUGAAGAAAGCAAUAGCAACAUACUAAACGAUCGGGUGCUAAGCUAAUGGAAUGGGUCAUGUCAAUCACAUCAUUCUCCUAAUGAUGUGAUCCCGUUAAUCAAAUAACAACUCUUUUGUUUAUGGUUAGGAAACAUAAUCAUCUUCGAUUAACGAGCUAGUAAAGUAGAGGCAUACUAGUGACACUUUGUUUGUCUAUGUAUUCACACAAGUAUUAUGUUUCCGGUUAAUACAAUUCUAGCAUGAAUAAUAAACAUUUAUCAUGAUAUAAGGAAAUAAAUAAUAACUUUAUUAUUGCCUCUAGGGCAUAUUUCCUUCAGCCAGGCCCUUGUAAUUUCAAAAUACUAGAGUAUAGGCUAUUUUUAGAGUUCGUAUGUGUGGGGAAACAAGAGAUAGGGUUGGUUUCGUACCCCUUCCCCAAGGGCCACGAAAUUGCCCCCUCUUCCUCCAUAUAUGCAUCCCUUAGGGCGUCGUUUAGACUUUGGAUUUUGUUUAGAUUAAAACAAGUUCGCCAUAGCUGCAACUUCACGUACUUUGUUUGUGUUCAACUACCAGACAAAGACGUCACAGAACCCCACCUUCAUUAAUAGUGCUUUCCUCUUAUAUUGGCAAUAUCCAGAUUGCAAACUCAGUUUAUUGCUUGUUCUUUGCUUUCCCAUAGGAAAUAGACCCUCGUGGUCAGGUUGAUCGUGCUCUGGCAUGGUCGAUAACCCUUUGGAAGUUGGUUUAGUGAUUACUAAGGCGCGACGUCUUCACACAUUCCUAGUCGGAUCGUCAAAGUCGACUCCCAUAGAAACAAUACCUAUAUCAUCCAAACAUCGGGACACCUUCGCCUCUAUUAGCGCCCGGCGCCGCCCAUUGCUCGACCCCCCCUGACGCCGUGCGUCACCAUGUCCCAUCAUUGGCCGCGUGCUUCGGCGCCUCUUGGCCGCGGAUGCCCCCUCCGCCGGAUAGCCGCGGCCCACAUCGCCGGAAAACCACCAUGAUCAUCGUCGACCCCCGGUCAAUAUGCACCACCGGCCUCCCCGAGCAUCUCCGGCCACCCCCGCACCUACCCGAGCACUUCCCCGACCCCCUCGUCAUUAGCCUCCGCACGUUCCCACCUUCUCCAUAUUCCCGACGCCACGCCGGAGCUCCCCGUCACCCAUGGCCCCGCAACCAGAACAUGCAUCGCGCCCACGCACCAGGCUCCCCUGCCUCGUGCCUUGGCAGCGCGUCCCGCGCCUUUGGCCAGCCCGCGCCUCCACGCCCACGUCCGCCCGCGCGUGGGUGUGCCCUUGGUCACCUCUGCAAGCUGUUGAUGCGCCGCCGCCGCAUCACUCCGCCUCGCUCGUGCAACCCGUCGCGCCUCCUGCUGCUCCUGCUGCAUUGCUUGUCGGCAGCCACCCCGCUCGCCUGCUCCUCCCCGCUGCCAGCCCGUUCGGCCACCAUACCCUCACGGCCCCUGCUUUGCGCGGCCUCGCCCCGCACCCAGGGAGGUUGUGCCCACCGCCCGAUGGCCGAUCUCCGCGCCCGCUCUAGUGGCCUUCUGGGCCACUCCCAGUCGGGGCCCACACCCCUUUUUAUAAGAACCAAAAAGGAAAACAAAAACAAUAUUAAUUCAUUAAUUAGUUAAUUAAUUAAUUAAAUCUGUUUCAUUAACCUAAUCACUUAAGUAAACUAAUUAAUCUGUUUAGUUAACUUGUGUUAGUGACAGCGGGACCCACAAGUCAGUUUGACCCAGUCAACAGACUGUUGACUGCUGAUGUCAUGUUGAUGCAAUAAACCUGAUUUUGAUUUAGAUUAAAUCUGUUAAUUUGAAAAUGAAUUAACAUUUUGAAAAUUAUUAUAAAAUAAACCGUAAAUCGGAUGAAAAUACUUUCUACAUGAAAGUUGCUCAAAAAAGCGAGAUGAUUCUGAAUACGCACUCCAUUCAUUAGGCACAUAUCCCUAGGAUAGCGAACAUGCAACCAUCCCCCUCCGUUCCGUCUGUCCAAAAAUGCCAAACGCCGAGACUACUUUCCCGGAUGUUUUCCCCCUUCACCAGUAUCGUGUAGUACCGCGUUGAUCACAUGUAGCAUCGUUUAUUGCCAUGUCAUGCAUCAUCAUGCAUCUGUUUGCAUUGUAUUUAUUGUUUAUUCCCCCUCUUCUCUCCGUUAGACUUCAAGAUUGACGCCACUACUACUACCCCAAUUGACUACGGUGUUGACAACCCGUCCUUCUCUGCCGAGCUUCCAGGCAAGCAACCCCCCCCCUUGAUCAACCAGUUAUCGCCCACUCUCUUCUCUCUUAUUCUUGCAUUAGCUUUGCUACUAUUGUUGAUUUGAUAGCUCCUAUUCUGUUGCAUAGCCUGUCAUUGUUACCACUGUUGUUACCUUUACCUACAAUCGUAAAUGGUUAGUACAUGAUGCUAGUAUUCCAUCAGUGGCCCUACAUUCUUGUCCGUCUGCUAUGCUAUAUUAUCGAGUCGUGGUCACUUCCGGAGGUGAUCUUGGGUAUAUACAUACAUACAUAUUAUACCGGUUACAUGAUGUGACUAAAGUCAGGUCUGCUCAUAGACUACCCGCAAGUGAUUCCGAUGUGGGGGCUGAAAGGGCAGGUGGUUCCAUCCAGGUAGUGGUGGGCCAGGGUUCCCGACGGCCCCCGAGUGUUACUUGUGGCGGAGCGACAGGGCAGGUUGUGACCACCUAGGAGACAGGUGGGCCUGGUCCUGAUCGGCAUCCACGAAUACUUCAAUAACACGCUUAACGAUAUUGGGUAUUUGAUCUGAGUUGGUCGUUGACCUAAACACACUAAACGCCACGUGGGACAAGAUAUGGGCAACCGGCGUCGUAGUAUCAGCCAAAGCUUACUAGACCUCGGCGGUUGAGCGUCGCGCGCCGGAUUAGACUGGAAAGCCUGCUCUUGUAUUAGGGGCUAGGUCUGCUUCUGGCCGCCCUCGCAACAUGUAGGAUUGCAAAGGGCGAUGGGCCCAAGACCCUUGCGCUCUUAGGAUUUAGACCGGCGUGCUGACCUCUCUGUUGGGCCUAGGUAGGGCUAUGACGUGUUGAUCUUCUGAGGUCUGGCAUGACCUAGGAAAGUGUGUGUGGCCAGAGGGAUCGAGUGUGUCAGGUAAUGCGGUGCACCCUUGCAGGGAAGAUUGAUCUAUUCGAAUAGUCGUGUCUAGGUAACAGGACGACCCAGAGUUGUAUUCCGACCUCAUGAUAACUAGAUCCAGAUACUUAAUAAAACACACCCAGAUAAGUUCCAGAGACAACCCAAUGAUCGCUCUCUCACAAGGUGACGAGGAGAGGAUCGUCGGGUAGGAUUAUGCUAUACGUUGUUAAUUGGUGAACUUACCAGCUACUCUCUUCUACAUGCUUCAAGAUGGAGGCUGCCACAAGCAUUGUCUUCAAUAGGACUAACUAUCCCCCUCUUAUUCUGGAAUUCUGCAGUUUAGUCCACAUAUACUACCCAUUUCAUUGAUACCAUGCAUAUGUAGUGUAGAUCCUUGCUUGCGAGUACUUUGGAUGAGUACUCACGGUUGCUUUGCUCCUCCUUUUCCCCCUUUUCCAUUCUUCUCGGUUGUCGCAACCAGAUGCUGGAGCCCCAGAGCUAGACGUCACCUUCGAUGACUCCUACUACACCGAGGGUGUCUACUACUACGUUCAGGCCGCCGAUGACCCGGAGUACUUAGGAGGAUCCUAGGCAAGAGGCAUGCGCCUCUUCGAUCUGUAUCCCUGUUUGUGCUAGCCAUCUUAUGGCACCUUGUUUAACUUAUGUCGGUACUUAGAUAUUGUUGUUUCCCCUGACUCGUUUAUGAUCGAGCUUAUGUAUUCGAGCCAUUGAGGCCCCUGGCUUGUAAUAUGCAGCUUGCAUGACUUAUUUGUGUUUAGAGUUUUGUUGUGAUAUCUUUCCGUGAGUCCCUGAUCUUGAUCAUACACGUUUGCGUGUAUGAUUAGUGUAUGAUUGAAUCGGGGGUGUCACAUUCCUAGAGAUGAUCUAUUCUGGUUUCAUCCACAAUACUUAUUUCGUUGCUCUGACCUCCCCCCCCCCUCUCACACUCUACUUCAAGCAUUGAAUGAUUGCUUACCCGUUUGAAACUUUAGAACCCUCUUAUAAUGCUCUUGAUGUCAUUCACAUAAUCAAAUUGAGAGAUACUUUAUGCUUCUUCCCCUGAGUUAACUGUCCGAUGCUCAAUCUUGUUAAAAACCCGUCCUUAUAAAUUUUCCCUCUUAUCCUUUCAUAAGUAUGGUGAAGAUCCUGAAGGAAGGACGACAACUUCAUCAUGAUGCCUUGAAGCAGAGAAAUAAAGACAUCAACGAAAGGGAUCAACUUCUUCAAGAACAGCAGCCAAGAACGAGAAGAUCCGUUAGAAUUUCGUAACCAGAACUAUCCCCCUUACUCCACCUCUUAAAUCUCGGGACGAGAUUUCUUGUAGUGGAGGAGAUUUGUAAUACCCCCAGGGUCAUGCCACAGUGACCUCACACUAACGGUGCCAGGUCAUCAAGUUUAACUAAGCCAGAUUGUCACUUGAGAAAAAUUCAAAUCAAACUCAAAUUUAAAAUAAUGUAAAAUAAUAUUUAUUCAAACAUAAAAAUAAAAAUGUUCAUUGUGUUACAAAUAAUCAAUUAAUAAUUUUCAUUGUGAAACCAACUUUUUAUAAAGUGUAUAAGUGCCCUAAAAUAAUUAAAACAGGGGCCAAAAUUUUUUAAUUGCUUUUAAAAUUAGAAAAAUUCCAAACUACUUCAAAUAAUCUCCAAACUUAUUGAGGCAAUGCAGAAUAUUGCAUAGUAAUUAUUUUGGCUAGUUAUACAUUUUACUAAUUUCAUUUAGUGCCCAAAAGGAAUGCAAAACUGUGAGCGAAAUAAAAAUAGAAAAGGAAAAAAAUAGAAGAGCUAGAACCUACUAUGCACUUGGGCUUUAAUUCUAUAGUAUAAGGCCAAGCCCACCCAGGGUCAUCCACUACCUCUGUUCAACAGAGGCUAGGUGGACGCCGGGCAGCCGCCCAUGGCCAGGAUGGCCACGUGCUGACCAUCCAGUGCAUCUCUAGCGCCCUACUAAAAUAACUCCAAAGCAAAUUCAUAUUCAUAAUACUCAAUCAAACACAAAGAACUUCAAAGAGUGCCCCAAGAUUUCUACCAGAGAAACAAAGACAAGAACGUGCAUCAACGCCUAUGCAUAGAUUUCCCCAAUGUCACCUCGGGAAUCCGUGAGUUGAGUGCCAAAACAUAUAUCAAGUGAAUCAAUACGAUGCCCCAUUGUCACCACGAGUAUUCAAUUGCAAGACAUAUGUCAAGUGUUCUCAAAUCCAUAAAAGUAUUCAAUCUAAUAACAACGAAAUCUCAACAGGAGAAACUCAAUUCAUCACAACAAAAUAGCGAGGGGAAAACACCAUAUGAUUCGACUAUAUUAACAAAUGCCGUGAUACAUCAAGAUCAUAACAUCUCAAGAACAUGAGAGAGAGAGAGAUUAAACAAAUAGCUAUUGGUACAAACCCUCAGCCCUGAGGGUGGACUACUCCCUCCUCAUCAUGGUGGCCGCCGAGAUGUUGAAGAUAGCCACCGGAGAUGAUUCCCCCCUCCGGCAGGGUGCCGAAAAUGGUCUAGAUUGGUUUUCAGUAGCUACAGAGCCUUGCGACGGUAGAACUUCUGAUAUAGGUUAACCCUGAGGGUUUCUAGAAUUUUUGGGAAUUUAUAGGGUAAAGAGGGGGUGCAGGAGGCCACCAAGGUGGGCACAACCCACCUGGGCGCUCCUGGGCCCCCAAGCGCGCCCUGGUGGGUUGUGCCCCCCUCAAGGCAGCCCCCAGGUGCUGCUCUGGCCCAUCUUGGGUGUUCUGGUCCAUAAAAAUUCUCCAAAAAGUUUCACGGUGUUUGGACUCUGUUUGAUAUUAAUUUUCUGUGAUGUAAAAAACAAGCAAAAAACAGCAAUUAGCACUGGGCACUGGGUCAAUAGGUUAGUCACAAAAACUGAUAUAAAGUUGCUAUAAAAUGCUUGUAAAACAUCCAAGAAUGAUAAUAAAAUAGCAUGAAUACUUCAUAAACUAUUGAUACGUUGGAUACGUAUCACUGGCUACCGCCGCCGCCUCCUACCCUUGCUACCACUGUUGCCAGCCCCCGUCGCCAUAGCUGUUGCCCGCCGCCACGACCUGCCGCUCGGGCUGUGCGCAGGCCACGGCCGGCCGUGCCCCUGGCCACUCCUGGUCGGGCGUGUGUGCACACGCCAGGCCGGCUGGAUCUCUGUUGCGUUGGGUCGGCCCAUUUAAUUAGGGGUUAACCCCACCCCACCCCCCACCCCACACCCACACACACACUAAUUACAUUAGCUUUUAAACUAAGAAAUAAAAUUAGUUUAACAUCUAGACACUGACUGGUGGCCUCCAUUCACUAAUUAACCUAUUUAAUUAGUCUAAAUAACCCACUUACACUCACAUAUGGGUCCCAUUGACUCUAUUGACCAGUCAAAGGUUGACUGGUCAACUGUUUGACUGGACCCCUGGCCCCACUAUCAUACUAAUGGGCUAGCCCCCUUGUUAGUGUCAAAACCAGCGGAUCUCGGGUAGGGGGUCCCAAACUGUGUGUCUAAGGUUGAUGGUAAUAGGAGACAGGGGACACGAUGUUUACCCAGGUUCGGGCCCUCUUUAUGGAGGUAAUACCCUACUUCCGCUUGAUUGAUCUUGAUGAAUAUGAGUAUUACAAGAGUUGAUCUACCUCGAGAUCGUAAUGGCUAAAACCCUAGAAGUCUAGCCUAUCUGAUUAUGAUUGUCUCUGCCUCUACGGACUAAACCCUCCGGUUUAUAUAGACACCGGAGGGGACUAGGGUUAUACAAAGUCGAUUUACAGAGAAAGGAAUCUUCAUAUCUGAACGCCAAACUUGCCAUCCACACCAAGGAGAGUCCCAUCCGGACACGGGUGAGAGUCUUCGGUCUUGUGUCUUCAUAGCCCAACAGUCCGGCCCAUGUCCAACAGGCCGGACGCCCGAGGACCCCUUAGUCCAGGACUCCCUUAGUAGCCCCUGAACCAGGCUUCAAUGACGAGGUGUCCGGCACGCAGAUUGUCUUCGGCAUUGCAAGGCGGGUUCCUUCUGAAUACUCCGAAAUAGUCUUCAAACACAAGAAUCGUGUCCGACUCUGCAAAACAAAUCUCAUACACAACCGUAGAGAGUAUAAUACUUCACGAGUCCAAUCUGCUGACAACUUUUUGUAGCGUGACAUCACAUCAUCACCCGGUUAUUAUUUUCAAAUCGUUUUUUAGCUUGUUGCUCCAUGUUUCAAGGCGCAGUUUUAUUGGCAAGUCUUGUCGAAGCAGAGAUCGUGUCCCUUUAUUACGGGAUUCUCAUCAAUACGGACGUGGGUAUCCCAACCGUUCUGUUGGCAUGAUUCCUUAGGAAUAGGCAGGUUUUAAGGCCUGGGAGGUGGUGUUUGAUAUUCACCGCCUUUAUAAAGGGGCUAUGACCUAGCUUUCUCCGUUACGCCAACCCUUUCCUCAACCUCUCCAACCUCGAGUUCCAGCACCCAAGGUUCAAUUUAAUUGAUUUGAGAUUCCCAGUCAUGUCCGGACCUAGCCCCCAAGGCCGGUGGGUGGCUUCCUUUGUCACAGAGGAGGAUAUUGCGAAGCUCCGGGCGGCAAGGUACCUGACCGCGGAAAUCCCCCACAGGCUCCCUGCUCAAGGGCAGGUUAUUCCUACUCCCAGAUCCGGCGAGAGGGUCGUAUUCAUCUCCCACUUCCUUCGAGGGCUAGGGUUCGCUCUUCACCCCUUCGUUCGAGGUCUCAUGUUCUAUUACGGGCUAGAUUUUAACGAUCUAGCCCCGGACUCCUUUCUCCUCACCUCGGCGUUCAUCGUCAUGUGCGAGGCCUUUCUCCAUAUUCCCCCACACUUCGGCUUAUGGAUCAAGACUUUUUAUGUGAAGCCUAAGGUGAUCGAGGGGAAGCAAGCGGAGUGUAGUCGAGCCACGGUGAGCAAGCUCACCAACGCUCUUUGGCUAAAAGGAUCCUUCACAGAAUCUUCCAACUUAUGGCAGCGGGAGUGGUUUUACAUCACUAAACCCCAUGGUACCAAGUGGGCAGCUACACCUGCGUUCCGAUCCGACCCUCCAAUUUAGCUCGCAUCAUGGAUCAACAAGGGGCUGGACUGGGGAUCAAUCGACGAAGUGCAGACUCUACAAAGCCGCAUCCGGAGUCCCCUUGAGAAGGAUACCGAUCUCAUCGACGUGAUUCAAGUAAUGUUGGUUCACCGGGUCCUCCCGCACCAGCGGCGGCCCCUCCGUAUGUGGGAGUUUAAUUCGGAAGGACCACGAACCCUUCAGCACUUCUUCGGCAUGACGCAUAGAGGAAUGUGGAAGUUAUUUUUCGGGACACGAAAACAGUGGUUGGACACUACCAAGGACAUCGGUCUUGACUGCAUUCAUCCGGAUACCUCGGUAAGUGCUUGACUCCUGAACACAGCUUAAUUGAACAUCCCGUGAUAAGAUACUGAGAAAACCAUUUUUUCCAGGGCUGGAUGAAGAAGGCGGGGCGAAUUAGGUGUUCGGCCCCUCUUCCCGAAGACUUAGCUAGUCCUGUGCUAACAAGGAUGCUGGUCCCGGCACCAUACCAGGUGCCAAUGAAAGAGUACAAUGAGGAGAGCAGGAAGGCCAAAGGUGGCCUCCAUUCCGAAGGAACACCAAACACUGUGUCCGGAGAGAUUAAGGUUCCCUCUUCCGCAGAUAAAAGAGAAAGAGAAGCUGACAUCCUUUCUCCCCAUGGUAAGAAAACGGCUGCCUCCGAAGGUUGGGAGGUAAAGGCUCCUAAGCGAGGUAAGACGCUCUCAUCAGGCGGUUCAGGCUCAAAAGACGACGUUGUCACGCAGUUCCUCCAUAAGGACGAGCCUUUAGCAGAAUCGUAAGUGAACAAGGGUGUUUUAAACAUAUCCCGUUCCUUUUCCUGUUACAAGGGUAACAUCUAGAAUACAUGUUUUGCAGUCCGACACGCAGUCUUCCCCAACAAUCCUCUUUGGGGGAUCUUCUUCCGGAGAUGAUGGAAAGUGAGAUGCCUCCACAGGAUUCCUCGCCCAAUACCGCGGACGACUUCAAGGUGUCGUCCCGGAGGAUCUCUCCCGAUCAACAAGUGGUGUAGAGGAGAAUGAAGACAACGCCCCCAGGUGAAACAUAGGUCGCCCAGGGUCCGGGGAGUGUGGUCCCUAUGGGGACCAACAAUAAAGGCCCCAGACUAUCCGGUUUACAGCCGGAGACGACUCUAGGGUCGGACAAACUUAUCCCUUCAAAGGGAGUCUGUACUCCCACAACUGCUUCCCGGGGUCCAGAGGCGCCGGAUACACUGAUGAACAUGUUGCGAUAUUAGUCCAUCUCAGAGGAACAUCGUACGUUGAUGGGUACGGUGGUUGAGAGGAUUAUGUCCGCGAAAAGCGGAUUGAAUGAAGCUUUCAUGGGCCUGCUAAGAGGCUUCGAGGUACGUAAUGCAAUAUUUUUGAUUGUGCUAUAUAUGCAAAAUGCUCCUGUGUAUAGAUAGUAGCCCCUGAGACUCUGGUUGACGUCCAAAGGGAGGCAAUCAGAGGAUCAAAAAAGAAAUGCCUAGGAAAUAAUCUAAUUAAUUGGAACACUGGUUGUUACAUCCACGAUGACUGCCCAUGCUAUAGAGGUUGCAGGUCUGGAGCAGAAACUUGAUGUGGCGAAUGACGACAUCAUGCUUAUUAACAGGCGGCUCGACGAGGCGCAAGGUAUGUUUUGAGGCGAGCGGUGUAUGUAUGUAUAAUAACAUGACCACGAAGCUAAGAAUUAUAUACUGAGACAUGCAUAACUGCAGAUAGUGCUGCCGCGGUGGAGGCCCUUCGGGCUGAACUUGCCCGAGCCAAGGAGCAAGCUCGGAUGAGUAAUGUGGCUGCCAAGAAGGCAGUUGAUGAGUUAAAAGCUGGACAGGCUGAUCGGCGCCAAUGCGAGGAGAGAAUGUCUACCAUGGCGCGCGAGCUAAAGGAAGCCACUAUCCGGUGCGAGUUCCUAGAGAGGGAUAACAAAGCCAAAACAGUCGAUCUCGAUAAUGCCUUACAAGAGGCGAGGGAAGCACGAUCCAAGUCUAGGGCGGCUCGAGAGGAGAUCCGGCAAGCUGGGGAGAUAGCGGCCGGUAAGCCUUUCUUAUUACAGACUAAAUUCGGUGAUCCGAAAUAUGCCCUACUUAAUCAAAUGUGGAGCUCUCCGGACGCAUUCUUGGACUUGCCGAAGAGCGCCUCCGAUGCAGCGCAAUUUUACAAGCGCAAGAAGGGUAUGCAACGGAGAAGCUUUUCUGGACACAAUUCGGCAUGGCAAAGCGCCCGCUGUUGCUGAACGAACAGAUGGCCCAGUGGGCCGAGCUCCACAAAAUAUCCGGUUCUGCUAUGAAGGACGUCGUGGUCCGGCUGUGGCCAACUGAGCCAAUUCCGAAUAGUUAUUUCGGUUUGGUGCGGCGACUUAUGGAUGUGGUGCCACGUAUCAAUGUCGUGAAGCGAUCGGCGUGCAUUGAAGGUGCACGGAUGUCCUUUGCCCGUGUCAAGACGUAUUGGGCGAAGAUGAAGUCCACCGAUAUUGCAGCGAAGAGUCCACCCGAGGGCAAGGACAAACACACGCCGGAGCAUUAUUUUGAAGAUGUCCUAGAGGGCGCCCGCUUAAUAGAGGUGCAGUACUCAAAGGAUAUGGUCUUCGAGUGAAUGUGCCGAAAUUGUGAAAACAAUAUUAUGAUAUUUUAAGGCUAUGCCUAAAAGUUUUUGGCUCCUCUUGUGCGGCCGUUUGUGUAUAAUCUGAAAGUUUUCCAGUCGUCGACUUCAGCCCCCUCACAUAAAAUACGGGGGUGUUCAGAAAAUCACUUGAUCACUCUUGACCCAACAUCUUGGUCCGUGAAGGAGGUGUCAAUGCGGCGAACUAGACAAUCAGACUAUAGGGCUUUAACACUUUCACUUAGCCAUAGGAGUUUGACAGUGGGUCUACAAUAUAGCCCCUGGUAUGUACGCGGCUAUCCGAAUACAGUGCGUUACAUAGGUGACCGGAAGAACGGUCCUUCGUGUAAUAUGGAAGGAAUCGUGAAAGAUUCUGAUAAUUCAUUGAGUGGUUGACCAGCUCUCGCCGCAUCAUGACAGUCAGUCUUAGGCUUUCUCUACUCCGGAUAAACCAGGACACAAUCGCAGUAGUUCUCCCUUUACUACCCUAGCCGAUAGAGUGGAGCGUAAGGUAGUAAGCACAGGAGCCAGGCAACCCAACUAUUGACCAAAGACAUGAUUUGGAGUUGAUGCAUAUAAGGCCAAACUCGUGACGCCGAAGUGUGCUAUAAAGCUGUUCGGACUUGCUGGCAAUUUAUUUGUUCCCAUAUUGAGCCCCUGGCAAUUUGUGCUGAGGUGCGUGUGUGAAACAACCGAAGAAGCAAAAUUCAGUUCUUUUAGAAAAAGUGAACACCGAAUACGGAUUAUGUUCACUGGAACCUGAUUGAUAGUCAAAUGCCAUUUUACAGAUAAUAACGCCACGACCCAGGCUAUUUGACAUGCCGGUGGUCGAAGGCUGAGGGAGAAGGCACUUUACAGGCUCUAAAGAGAGAGUGCGGUCUACUAAGAAUUACUUGGACCUCCAGUCACACGUAUGUGCCGCCUUGCCUCGGUGAAAGGACUCCUUAACAGGAAUAGCCUUUGGGUAGGUGAACGAAGCCGAACUCCAAAAGAGUCUGUGAGAUGACCAGUCUUUGAGCCACCUGUGGUAAAAGGUAAAAAAUAGUUAGAAAAGAAAAGAAAAGGAGGCUAUGGGAGAGCUUGUACGCCUGUCUGUAUUGUGCCUUUGCCAAUGACUAGGGUAUUCUAAGUACAUCAUUAUGUACGCGUGGUACAAACUUCGCGGGUAUAUAAGGCGAACGAUGGAGGCCGAACUGCUAAUCCAGCUCUGAGAUUGAUCGGCCCCAUUUAAUAGAGGCCGAUGGCUUAAUGGCCGAUGAGAUAUGCGGCUUAAUGAGGCCGCUUGGUACUUCGACUGUGGUAGCCGUAGUAUGACCCUCCGUACGGAGGGAGUAUUCCGUAUUUCCGUUUAUUGUUAUGACGCCGCGUGGACCGGCCAUCUUAAGUUUUGCGCGGCCGUAGUGUUGGACUGCAUUAAAAUGAGCAAAAGCGAUACACCCCAGAAGUGCAUGGUAGCUACUGCGGAACGGGACAAUAUCAAAGGUCAAGCCUUCGCUUCGGAAGUUGUUCGACGAACCGAAAAUGACUUCCAAUGUGACGGAGCCCCUACAGUGAGCUUCUAUGCCGGGUACUGCUCCCUUGAGGGUAGUUGUGGUGGGCUUUAUUCUUGAAGGAUCGAUGCCCAUUUUGCGGACAAUGUCUUGGUAAAGUAGAUUAAGGCUACUACCGCCAUCCAUAAGGACUUUCGUGAGAUGGAACCCAUCGAUAAUUAGAUCGAUGAUCAGAGCCACCGAACCUUCGGGACGGAUAUGGCAAAAUUUUGGGGGGCGGCUCUAUGGUGUAUGCGUCCCAUAAUGCGCGCUUGCGCUCCCCUGUAGGGGUGUGCAUCACGUAUACCAUGUUUACGGUUUUUACUUCGGGGGGAAGUUGUUUUUUGACCCCCAGUAUUCGGCUGGCGAGUCUCUUCGUCAUCGCUGUCACUGGGUGGCCCCUUCCCCUUGUGUUAGGCAUUAAGCUUGCCGGCUUGUUUGAAGACCCAAGAGCUUUUGUUGGUGUGAGUAGCUAGUUUAUCGGGGGUGCCGUAAAUAUGGCAGGGCCGAUCCAGUAUUUUGUCUAGAUUGGAUGGUCCGCCUCUAUUUGCCUUGAAUGGCUUUUUUCGUUGACCGGGUUUGGAACCGCUGAAUCCGGCAUUAACCGCCAUGUCUUGCAUUCUUUCGUUAUGAUUGCGACGUUUGUGUUUAUUGUGUUGUGGCUUGCCAUUGCCAUCUCGGACUUCAGAAGUGCCUGGAUCGCUGGCGUUGUUGCUUCUACGAGUGAGCCAGUUGUCUUCUCCCGUGCAAAAGCGGGUCAUUAGAGCGGUAAGGGCUGCCAUGGAUUUUGGAUUUUCUUGACCGAGGUGGCGGGCGAGCCAUUCAUCCCGGACGCUGUGUUUGAAGGUCGCGAGGGCUUCGGCGUCCGGACAAUUGACAAUUUGGUUCUUUUUAAUUAGGAAUCUAGUCCAGAGCUUCCUGGCUGACUCUCCGGGCUGCUGGAUGAUGUGACUUAAGUCAUCGGCAUCUGGAGGCCGGACAUAUGCACCUUCCAGAUAUUCCCAGGUGCCAAUGGUGUUCUCUAGAAGGUUGUUUAGCCAGUGUCGCGCUGGUCCCUUUAGUUUUAAUGGGAGGUAUUUGAUGGCGUGGAGAUGAUCACCGCGGGCCAUGUGGAUAUGGAGAAGAAAAUCUUCAAUCCAUACCGCGGGAUCUGUUGCUCCAUCGUAUGAUUCAAUAUUCAUGGUUUUAAACCCCUUUGGGAAUUUGUGCACCAUUACUUCAUCAGUGAAGCAAAGAGGGUGUGCGGCGCCUCUAUAUCGGGCCACAUUGCGACAUAGCUCAGAUGGAGUCCGUCUGCGACAUUCGGCCCGUGCGUGAUUAGGCUUGUCACGUCCGAAUAGAUAGUCGUCGUCGCGUCUCGGGGCACACCCCCACGAUCCGUAGAUCGAUCUGGUAUGUCCUGCUCUACUGUCCAGGUCCUGCCGAAGAUCACAUGUAUAUGCCUGAGCUGUUUUAUCCUUGCCUUUACAGCGAGGUAGUACGGGAUGGUGUUCGGCUUGAGUUGCCGCUUUGUCCCGGCCACAUGGUGGUCGGUCAGCCGCAUUGUGCGCUGAUGGCAUGGGCACCAUCGCCUCGUCAUCGAAUUGAGGUAGUAAUUUGCGCUUUGGGUAACUUUUAAGUGGUCGCUCGAGGCCGUAUUCCUCAGCUGUCAGGACAUUAGUCCAUCUAUCGUUGAGUAGAUCCUGAUCAGCUUGAAGCUGUUGUUGCUUCUUUUUUCAGGCUCCUUGCAGUGGCUAUUAGCUGGUGCUUAAAGUGCUCCUGUUCGACAGGUUCCUUAGGCACGAUAAAGUCCUCGUUGCCGACGCUCACCUCAUCCUCAUAGAGCGCAAGGUACUUACUGUCCUUCGGGUCUUCGUUCAUGACUUGUACAUCAGGGCUAACUCGCCCAUCUUCCCGUUCGUCCUGUUCGGAGGCUGGCUUAGCGGGAUCUUCAUUGUCUUCAGCAUCGUCGAGAGUAUUGUUUGUGCCGGUAUUGCUAUUUUUUCCGCGGCCUGGCUUAGAGCGGCGCCGUUGAUGUUGGUGUUUCGGCUAUAUCUCAGGAGGUUUGUCCUUGAUUGGAUCUUCCUUGUCAUCGCCACUAUUCUCAUUUGGUGUGUCCACCAUGUAGAUGUCGUAGGAGGAGGUGGUCGUCCAAUGCCCGGUAAAUGGCGGGUUUUGGGCAUUUUCCUUUUCGGCUUCAUCGUCCAUACUGUCGAUGCCUCCGGAGUCGUAGUCGAGCAUGUCGGUUAGAUCUUCGAUAGUGGCUAUCAAGUGGGAGGUGGGUGGGAAGCGAAAUUCACCGUCGUCAGCCCCUAGUUCGAACCGGGUAUAAUUCGGUUGUGAGUACCUUGCUAAAUAGAGGGUUUUUAAUGAGUUCCUCCGCUAUAGUCGAGCAUGUCUGUGGAGCUGAAUUCGAUGAUCGGCGCCUGGUAAGGCUCGGCAGACGCGGAUGCACAUAGUUCGGAACCAGUAAUCGGAGAUGAAUCUGGGGGUCCGGCAACACAGACCUUGCUUGAAGUUGGAUCUGUGUGCGGCUCCAACUCCGCUGAGUCUGCGGCUUCCGUGGCGGGGUUAAGCUUCCCGUCUUCGGAUGGCGCAAGCUACUCCAGAUCUAGGGCCAAAGCGCUUACAGGCGCAAUCUCCUGGGUAUGGUCCAAUGACAGAUUUAGGUCAUGUUCAUCGCGGUGGCAGGGAGCGGCUACCAUGGGCUCAAAUCCGUCGAAGAUCAAGUCUCCGCGUACAUCAGCGACGUAGAUCAAGCUUCCAAACCUAACCUGACGGCCAGGGGUGUAGCUGUCGAUCUGCUCUAGAUGGCCAAGCGAGUUGGCCCGCAGUGUGAAGCCGCUGAAUACGAAGAUCUGGCCAGGGAGAAAGACACCCCCGGGCAGCGUUGUUGUAGAUGAUGGAUGGAGCCAUCGAACCUUCUGAUGAAGACACAGUGGAACUCUCAAUGAAAGCACCAAUGUCGGUGUCAAAACUGGCGGAUCUCAGGUAGGGGGUCCCGAACUGUGCGUCUAAGGUUGAUGGUAACAGGAGACAUGGGACACGAUGUUUACCUAGGUUCGGGCCCUCUUUAUGGAGGUAAUACCCUACUUCCUGCUUGAUUGAUCUUGAUGAAUAUGAGUAUUACAAGAGUUGAUCUACUUCGAGAUCGUAAUGGCUAAAACCCUAGAAGUCUAGCCUAUCUGAUUGUGAUUGUCUCUGCCUCUACGGACUAAACCCUCUGGUUAUAUAGACACCGGAGGGGACUAGGGUUAUACAAAGUCGGUUUACAUAGAAAGGAAUCUUCAUAUCCAAAUGCCAAACUUGCCAUCCACGCCAAGGAGAGUCCCAUCCGGACACGGGUGAGAGUCUUCGGUCUUGUAUGUUCAUAGCCCAUCACUCCGGCCCAUGUCCAACAGGUCGGACGCCCGAGGACCCCUUAGUCCAGGACACCCUCACCCCUCCUGGGUAUAAAAUGUAAUUUGAGUAUUUAAUUAAAUCCAGUAAUUUUAGAAUAUUGUUUAAACUUCAAAAAAAUCGUAGUAAUUAAACCGUAACUCAGAUUAAAAUAAUUUAUAUAUGAAAAAUGAUCAAAGAACAAGAUGAACCCGAAUACGCCAUCCACAUACCUGCCACAUGCCCGCAACACAACAAGCAUGGAACCUUCCCCUCGGGUUCAUCUGUCCAAAAACCACCAAAACCCGGGAAAACAUCCCCAGAUGUUCCCCGCUCUGUCUAUAACGUAUAGCACUGCGUUAGGUCACCCCUAGCUCAUCGUAUUGCCAUGUUGUGCAUUGUGAUGCUUUCAAUUGCUCUGUUAUUUAUUGUGUCCCCCCUUUGUUACUUCUUUUUCGGUAGACCCCGAGACCGCAGUUGAACCGAUGAUCGACUACUUCACCGUUCUGGAUCCGUAUCUGUCAGCAGAGCUUCCAGGCAAGCCACUACUGGGAAAAGGUAUGCUAGUGGCGCACCAGUUUUGCCUACUAAUGGCGCACUACUGGUGCGCCACUAGCAUCACGCCAUUAGAAUUAAAUUCUAAUGGCGCACCUGUAGUGCGCCAUUAGUAUGCCUAGAGGUGCGUCAUUACUAUCUGAUUUAGUAAUGGCGCACCACAUAGAAGUGCGCCAUUAGUAAUAAUAUUUUUUCAAAAAAAUCAAUUUUUUUCUUAAUCACGGGUCACUAUGGCUUAAUCUCGGGUCAAUAUGCUUAAUCUCAGGUCAAAUCGCACUCUGUGGUCAAACUUCCCAAAAGAUCACCCAUCCUCACACUACUCUAGCCCAAGCACGCUUAACUUCAGAGUUCUAUCCAACCCCAGCACCAGCUCACUUCACAGGCACUUGUUGAUAUAUCUAGCAUAUCAAUCCUAUUAAACCUUGUUGAUGUUUAGGACUUUGUUCAUGUUCAUGAGUGUGAUAAAAUUUUGAAAAAAUAUUUCAAACUUCCGUUCAUAUUAUGUAUCAUAUUUUGAAAAAAAAUCCUGAAAAAAAUCGAAACUAAUUUUUUUUCUGUUACUAGUGGCGCACCUAGCAUACGGUGCGCCGCUAGUAAGUUUGAAUUUUUUUUUUGCCUCCGGAUCUUAAAAGCCCCGUAACUUUUUUUCUGUUAGGUUUUUGAGGAUUUUGAAAAUGUUUAAUGGGGUUCCCCCGUGUUAAAUUUGGAUGUAACUUUUCGAGUAGAUGAUUUUUCAUAUAUAAAACUUUUUAAUCCGAGUUCGUAUGCAAAAGUUAUGCCCAUUUUACAAAUUCCAGAGAGAUUUUGCAAAUAAAGUCGAAAUUCAUAUUUGUAAAUUUUCCCAACAAGUAGACCACAUAUCACAUGGGAAACUUAUUUCUUUUAUUUUUUGACAUUUCCAUCAUUUUCUUUUAUUUUUUUAAAACUGAAAAGGCCAGGGGGGGUGCAUUCGGUGGAAUUUUUGGUCAAAGCUAGUAAUGGCGCACCGUGGGUGUGGUGCGCCAUUACUAGUUUAAACUAGUAAUGGUGCACCACACCCACGGUGCGCCAUUACUAGCUUUGAAAAAAACAAAUUCUGAAAAAAAUUUGAAAAAACUUAGUAAUGGCGCACCAGUUUAACUAGUAAUGGCGCACUGUCCACUGGUGCGCCAUUACUAGUUUUGAAAAAAUUGAAAAAAAAUUGAAAAAAAAUUACUAGUGGCGCACCGUGGAUGUGGUGCGCCAUUACUAGUUUUGAAAAAAAAUGAAAAAAAUUGUUACUAAUGGCGCACCGUGGAUGUGGUGCGCCAUUAGUAUUUGGACACUAAUGGCGCACCAACACAUGGUGCGCUAUUAGUAUAUACUAAUGGCGCACCACAUGUCUGGUGCGCCAUUAGUGGCCAUAUCAUCUAUAGCCCUUUUCCUAGUAGUGAGCAAAACCCCCUUGAUCAUACCUAUAUCACCCAGUUCCUUCUCUCUCAUGCUUGCAUUAUAUUUUUCUACUGUAUUUGUAAGAUCCUAUUCUGAUGCAUAUCCUAAUUUUGUAACUUGCUAUUGUUACCUUACCAGCUAUCCUAUAUGCUUAGUAUAGGUUGGUUAGAGCAUCUCUGGCAGAACCCCCAUACCGCCCCGACCCGAAAAAUAACUGCCAAAAUGCGGGUCGGGCGCGAAAACCUGCCAGAUCAGACACUACAUUCGCGGCCGACAAGAAUUUUUUUUGCGAGGCGCGGCAUUCAGACACCGCAUUCACGACCUCUAGAUUCAUGGGCUGGGAGGAAGACCCUAGCUAAGCCCCUAUCCGCAGAAAGAUUUGGCGGGAGGGACAUUUCCGCGCGGCCGUUCCCGCUCCCUCCACCAUUGCCCCGCCACCUCAUGCUUCGAUGCAUCUUCCCCGGCCGUCCUUCCCUGCCGUGGAUGACUCCCUGCUGUCCCCCGUCACUGUCGAGGUCGCGCACGCUCAAUCCCCUUGGGCGGAUCUCAUCGCCGGCCAUGUUCGCCCCAUUGUCGCCCAAGGUACCGCCGCUCCUGCCUGCAAGUGGCAGGGCAAUGUUGUCAUGCAGGGCGGGAAUCCGGCUGCCCCUGCUACAAAGGCCCGCGCUCCAGGUGCCAACGCCGCUACGCGAUCCCGGACGGCGGCGGAGAAGGUCGCCAAGGACGCCGACGUCAAGAGGAAGAGGAUUCCGGCUACAAAGAAGCUGCCUCCUUCAUCCACUCCCUCCGCCCCGGAAAGAGGUUCCCCGNNNNNNNNNNNNNNNNNNNNNNNNNNNNNNNNNNNNNNNNNNNNNNNNNNNNNNNNNNNNNNNNNNNNNNNNNNNNNNNNNNNNNNNNNNNNNNNNNNNNNNNNNNNNNNNNNNNNNNNNNNNNNNNNNNNNNNNNNNNNNNNNNNNNNNNNNNNNNNNNNNNNNNNNNNNNNNNNNNNNNNNNNNNNNNNNNNNNNNNNNNNNNNNNNNNNNNNNNNNNNNNNNNNNNNNNNNNNNNNNNNNNNNNNNNNNNNNNNNNNNNNNNNNNNNNNNNNNNNNNNNNNNNNNNNNNNNNNNNNNNNNNNNNNNNNNNNNNNNNNNNNNNNNNNNNNNNNNNNNNCGAAAUGGCCGGAAGGUAUGCUUCUUCGGUCAUGGCAAUUUUCUUUUCUUUUCACCAUUUUGUGAUAGCUCGUGACUUGUUGUCAUUCACUAUAGCGGUGGUUUGAACAAUGCAACUGUCGAGUUUAUGAACUUGUUGGACACCAACGCCGUUGACAUCGAUCAAGCCCCGUUCGCCGCAUUCGACUACAAUGAAACGGAGGGUAUCGUGGAUGAUCAUGGUGGUGAGGAAGAAUUGGAGGAGAUCGAUGAUGUAGCGUAUGAGCAAUCGCAAACAAAAAAUGGGAAAAGCCAGAGAUCGAAGAACUACACGAUCUUAGAAGAUCAAAUUCUGAUCAAUGCAUGGAGUGCGGUAUCUCUUGAUGCAUGCACGGGUACUUCUCAAACCGCCAAGAGGUAUUGGCAAAGGAUCGAAGAUCAAUACUUUCGCAUGAUGGCAAAGUACCCCAAUAGGACUCCACGCAUAUUUCGGUCGCUUCAAGGGAGUUGGGAUGUGAUCAAGCCUAUGUGUGGCCGUUGGGCAGCUUGCUUCGAGCAAGUACGCAAUGCACCUCCAAGUGGAACCGUGGAAUCCGAUUAUGUGAGUUUGUUUUGCCUUUGUUCAAGGUGUGCAUCAUCAUAUUGCAUCAUAUGAAAUGAUUGCAUCAUUUCACUUUGUUCAAAUUGUGUAGGACAAAAUUGCCCAACAUAGAUACAAAGACAUGGAAGCUUUGGAAGGCAAAUUCUUCAAACUAGAGCAUUGUUGGGACUUGCUCAAAAAGUGCGAGAAGUGGAAGUUGAUCGACAAAGAAUCCCCAUUGAAGAGAGGUUCACUUACAAACAUGGAUGAAGAUGAGGAUGAUGAUGGCCCAAGAAAUUUGAACAAGCCCGAUGGCGACAAGAAGAGUAAGGAGAAGAUGAACAGAGAGCACGAAGCAUCGAGCUUGAGGGAGAAGAUUGAUGCCAUGGUGCAAUCAAAUGAGUUGAUGUUGUUGAAGUCGUUGGAGAUCAAGAAAGAGUUGGCCGAGAAGAAGGCAAAGGAGAAGCAAGAAAAGUGGCAAUUGCUCAAGGAAGAGGGGCUGCGCAAAGCUGCCAUUAAGGAGAGAGAGGAGCACAUGCCGCUCAAAACAAAGCCAUGUCCAAGUUGCUCGCCGAAGAGAACAAGAUCAUGAUAAUUAACCACAAUGACAUGGACGACCUAACCAAAGAAUGGCAUGAUAUGGCAAGGACAGAAAUCUUGAAGAGGAGAAUGGUUGCGUCGGCCAGUGCGUGUUAUAGUGCCGGAGAUGUUUUCUCUGCUCCAUAUGAUGGCAAUGUCGAUGAUUUCGGUGCGGGAGUUGAAACAAGCGCCGGAGGUGGAUUCAGUGAUGGCGAUGAACUUCGGGAUGGACUCGAUGGCGCGGAGUGAAGAUCGACCAAGAUGAUGCUGGACGUGGUCCUCAGUUUUGCAAGACCCUCUUUUGUGUUUGUCCUACUAAACUGAAGCUUUUAUUUGCACGCAUUCGGUGUUAUGUUGUUUGAAUUUGAACUUAUUUGUGAGAACCUAUGUCAAAUUCAAGAAUGGGACGUUUUCAGUUUGCCGGUCGACGCGGCGGUGCCCGAGCGGACCCCGCAAAAAGCCGACCCGUAAAAAGGAUAUUCCACGAAUAUCCUUUUACACGGGUCCGUUUGGGGCGUCUGCAUCUGCGGCCGUCCGAGCAAGCCCGCAAAGGCCGUUUUCACUGCAAACGCAUUUUGCGAGCUGGCCGGAUGCGGGGUCUGCUAGAGAUGCUCUUAGAUAUCCACCAGUGACCCCUCACCUUGUCCCUAUUGCCCCUGCUUUUAUGAUCGAUGACUUGAUCAACGUGAUCGAUGUCCACGACUCGACACAUCACCUCACACCUCCUUAGUUGUAUGCCACUGUAUGGUUACUAUCGAGUGCCCAGGGUGAUACCUUGUAUCACACUUCCGAUGAGAUCUCUGUAGUGUAGUUAAUCGGUCGUGGUCUAUGGAAGGUGAUUCCUCCUUAACCACUCCUGAUAACGACUCUGUGGUGCAACACAUCAAGAGUCAACCAUCGCGGGUGAUUCCUCCAAGUUCACCUUGACGGUUACAUCAAGUGGAAUCCUUCGAGGGUUAUUCCUCGGAUCCCCCCUUGGUGUUAUGGACACACGGUUACUUUGACUUUACCCGCAGAACCAUGUUGAAGUCGGGUCGGCCCCGAGGGGUACCCGCGAGAGAAAUGUCAAGUUAUGUGAAGUUGGGUUGACCUGGAGGGUACCCGUAAGAUAUCUACGCGACACGACCGGGCAUUCUUAGCCCUUGCCGUAAGCUCGUGAGACGGGGUGGCGAGACAACAUAUCGUGGAUCAAUUAUCAUUACCGUGCGCUCCCAAGAAACUAACGGUUUGGAUAUGUGAUCCGAGUAGGCCUCCGGCCUUUUCGCACUGACCACCACGCAGGAAUAAGUAUAGGCACUCUGCAUCGUACAUUUCUUCCAAAAGCUCACUAGCAUCAGUGAUUGAGCAGCACGCGCCCGGGUGGUCCGCGGAAGCACCUGCCUUGUAUAAAAAGGUAGCCGGGAAUGAUCACGGCCGUCCACGCAACAUGCAGGAGUGCAAAGAGUGAUGGGCCCAAUACCCCUGAGCGCUUAGGAUGUAGAUCGGCGUGCUGGCCUCUUUGUUGAUCCUAGGUAGGACUACGGUGUGUCGAUCAGCCGAGGCCGGGUAUGAUCUGAUGGUGUGCCCCACCGGAGUUAAUCUAGAAUGUUGGGUAAGUUUGUGCGCCCCUUCAAAGAAGUUAAUCUAUUCAAAUAGCCAUGUCCAUGGUAACGGACGCUCGGAGUUGUGUCCCGAUCGAUACAACUAGAACUGGAGAUGUGAAAUGGAUAUGAUGGCUCCGGGAUUGCUUUCUCGCAAGGAGCCAAGGAAGGAUCUCUGGGCGUUACUACAACAUACUUGUUACUUUAUAUUAUGCUAAUUUGCACUCUUCUAAUGCCGCAAGAUGCUUCCAGAUUUUAGUCUUCGAUAGGCUAGGUUUUCCCUCUUUUCUGGCAUUUCUAUAGUUCAGUCCAAAGAUAUAACCCCAUUCCUUUGAGGAGCCGGAUCCUCUAAUGUUACGAAGAGAAGUCGGGGCUUGACAUCCCUUCAUGAAAACGGCUGCUAGCGACGCUGAAAAAAAAAGAAAAGAAACUCUCCCGACUCCGCUGGCACUGGCACUGCCCAGUCCUUGGCCGCGCCGCCGCGAUGAACUCGCCAGAACUGAUUUAACAUGUGCAACUCCUAUUGAAAAGAUCCAUAAAAAGCAAAACAAUCUUGUUUGGAUCUUGAUUCUCCAUGAUCAGCCUCUAAAUUCUGCUUUGGAUGUUGUAUUUGAUCAGGCCAGGUGCUUGUUGUGCUGAUGCUCCAAAAGAGAAGAGGAAAAGAGCAUUUUUGAUGUGCUGAUGCUCCAAAAGAGAAGAGGGAAAAAGCAGCGUUGAUGUGCUGGGAGUGGCAGAUACUCCAAAAGAGAAGAGGAAAAUAGACAAAGUGAGGUGCAGUACAAGCAGUGGUGGGUAAAGUGGAGGGAAACAACUCACAGGUGUGGAUGUUUUGGCGCCAAGCUGAGGGACUUUUCCCUCCAAAAGAGAUGAAAGGGAAAGAGUGGUCACGUGCAUGAGAAGAGGUGGUUGUGUCCGUUUCCAUGAAGGGAUGUCACCUCUGACUUCUCUUCAUAAUGUUAGAGGAUCCGACUCCUUCCUUUGAUACCGAUGCAUAAUUAGAAUAGAUCUGAUGUAAGUCUUGCGAGUAAUUUGGAUGAGUAUUCAUGGUUGCUUUGCUACCUAUUUUCCCCUAUACCCGAUUGCUGCGAUUAGAUGACGGAUCCCAGGAGGCAGAUGCCACCACCGACGACUACUACUACCCCGACGGAGCUUACUACCACGUGGAGACCGACGACGACCAGGAGUAGUUAGGAGGCUCCCAGGCAGGAGGCCUUGCCUUUUCGAUCGUUGUUGUUGUUGUUGUUGUUGUUGUUGUUUGAGCUAGCCUUCUUAAGCCAGACUUAUUUACCUUAUGUCUGUACUCAGAUAUUGUUGUUUUCGCUGGCUCUUGUGUAUUCGAGAUUAUGUAUUCGAGCCCUCGAGGACCCUGGCUUGUAACAUAAAGUUUGUAGUAUUAUUUUAUUUAUGUCUAGAGUUGUGUUGUGAUAUCUUCCCACGAGUCGCUGAUCUUAAUCGUGCGCAUUUUGCAUAUAUGAUUAAGUCGGGGCGUCACACUUGAAGUCUCUGGUUUGAAAAUAUUUCAAAUUAAAUCUAAAUAAUUUUCAAACCCCUUUUCAUUUCUUUAAGUGGAAGAAGUCAUAUCAUCUUCACUCUAGGAUUUUGUGAUGAAAUGAAUUUGAAUUCAUGGAGAUCAAAAUGCAAGUAUGAAAGUUUGGGAAAGCCCGUUUAUUCCCUCUCAUUCAACUUUCAAAAAGUUUCAAAUUUCACUCAAUUUCAGACAAGCAGUCACAAAGCAAACAAAUAACAACCAUAUUUAUUUAUUUAAUAUAACAUUCCAAAAUUUAGAAUUUUGGGAUGUUACAUUAGGAUUAACUACCAGGGAGGGCUUCGAGAUUCAUGCAAACUAACAAGUUCUUCUCAUGUAGUAUGUCUUUAACACCAAAACACAUAAAUACAAGAUAUAAGAAAUAUGUAGGACUUCAAAAUACAUGAGUUACCUUGAAAGACAUCAUAGUUUCAGGUGUACAGUUUUGCACAUUCAAAUGAUAGACAAACUGAGAUACAAAAACCUAGUAUGUAGAUAAAAUGGCAACUUCUUGUUUCAAAGUCAUGUACCGAUCAUCUUACAUUCAAAGAGUGUCACCAUUGGUUGACAUUUGACAACUAGAUUAACAAAGCGGCAAUUAUUUGCAUGUGUAUCACCACAUGAUGUACAUCCAUGACAAUAAAUGGGUAAAGACAUAUUAUGAUAUUGCACUGGAGCAAAAAAGUUGCAAAUACUACAGACGAUUACCUAUACUUGAAGAGAAAAAACUAGAAUGUCAUCAAUGCUAUCAUGCACCUAGAGGAGGACAUCCAGUGGCAAGUGGCAGAUUCAAGUUAUCAACUGUCCUGAAUGUCCUCGGAACCAUCUUGUCAACAUAUA